UCUCUAAAGUAAGUCUUUUAUCCACAAGAUCUUGAUAUUCUUCAGUCCAACACCUUAGGUUGUCCUUCAUGAUCGAAACUGCCCAUUGAGCACGUGUUUUUGGUCCCAAAUUUCCAUCUACAUUAUAUUGUACAGGGUUCAUAAAUGUCAAAGCUUCCAUGAUCAAGCCAACAUAAAUAGUACAAUCAUUAGUUUGACCCUGUCGUGGUGUUAUAGCUUCUUCCAAUGGCAGAUCCAACCUUAGUGGUUCGUUUUCCAGCUCCAUCUUAAAUCUUUUGUUGAUUAGGAGAACAAGAUGGUUCUUCUGUUUUUCAAGCAAAAUUAAUAUGUUAUCAGCUUUUGUUUUCUUAGAAAAAUAAAAUUAUAAACACAAAUCAAUAUGUUAUCAACAUAAACCUACACUGGACAUAGUGACUGAUAACAUGAUGUUAUCAGGGAAACCAAAACUGAUAACAUCAUGUAAUCAGUGAAACCUACACUGGCCAUAGUGACUGAUAACAUGAUGGUAUAUGAUAAGAUACCAAACAAAAAAGAGCUCAUAAAAUGAUGUUAUCAAGGACAACUAUCGUGAUAUCAUCAUGUUACCAGCUUUGGUUUUCUUACAAACAAAAUAAUAAAGAGGUUAUAGUCUUACCCAGGCAAGGUUAUAGUCUUAAUCUUCUGUGUUGGAAUACUCAGCAGUCUCUGGCCACUUCCUGUGAAAAUACUGCAGACAAGAUGAAGAAAUGUUGGUCAAUAUUUGAUUACUAAAGUAAUUUUAAAUCCAACGUAACUCUUUGCAGAGAUUGUCAUGAGAUAAUUUCUUGUUUACAAAAGUUAAAAUCCAGUUAAAGGGUUGGUCCUAGGCAGAGAGCAUAUAUAUGUCGCACUGUCACUUUGUCUUUGAACUUAGUUUGCACAAAUGCAAUUCUCUUAAAUGGGUUGCUUAUUAGCAACCUAAAGUCAAAGAUACUCACUAUGCUGUAUAUGUACAACAGAAUCAAAGGUGAUGUAGCUAUGGUCAGAUACAGAGAUUCUCUGAAAAUGUCAGAAACAGGUCUGAAUUCUGAACAUAACAAAGACUAGAAAAAAGAAUCAAACUAUGAAAUUAUUGUCAAACACAGUUUAUAUAUAAUGUCUGUGACUCAAGAUUGUUUUUUUGGAAAAAAUGAUGUGUUAAAGUUUCUUGACCACAGAUUGUUUAAUCAGUUGUGUACACUUUGAAAUCACAUUUGCAGAACUGCUGGAAAUGCAGAGUACUGCACUUGAGAUAGUUUGUCAUACUGUACACAUUUCUAUAUCUUAUGGACUGUCUGGAAAGCUAGGAAUGAUAGUUGGUUAGUUACAUGGGGGACAGCCUAUAAAAACUGUAAACGUAUUCAACACAAACGGAUUACUGGUCCGAGAAAUGUAGUGUCUUCAACAGUGACUGUAUAGUAGUCUUAUUCUACCAGAAAAAUAAAUUCCAAGUCAACAGAUCAACAACCAUGGGACAGAGAACCAAAGAAAUGAAUGAAAAUAGAACAAGUUCACAACACAGCAUGCACAAAUUUUCAAGAAGUGAUACGGAAAUUGAGUCUAUUGCCUAAAUUUCAAGAACAAUGGAUUGAAGCUCAUGUGGGAGACGGAGAACCUGAUAUAAAAAUGCGAAAAGCAAGUCUUAUGAACAAACCUCGAGGCCAAUGGAUUGAACUUGUAGCUGGAGAAAUCUAUACAGACCAUUGUUUUUCUAUAAAGAAACAUAUUUGUUUUUCUCUCAGUGAAUACCAAGGAGGAAAUUGGAAGUCCGGUCUUCUAAUGAAAGGUGUUGUUCUUCGUCCAAAGAAACGUAUGUGAAUUCAUGGAUGUCAAUAAUCACAAACAUAGUGGAGUAUAGGAUGCGAAAGCAUUGAUAAUAAAGCUGAAAUGAAAGCAAUAAUAGAGUAUAGGAUGUGAAAGUACUAGACCUAGUAGUGUCGUAGAAGAAAUUUAACAUUCAUGAAGUUAGCAAUAGCUAAAACAAUUUACAUGUACUUAUCAAAAGCAUAAAGUCUUCUAUCAACAAUUUAUAACAAUCAAAGUUCUUAUCAAAACACUACAACUUCUCUAAAGUAAGUCUUUUAUCCACAAGAUCUUGAUAUUCUUCAGUCCAACACCUUAGGUUGUCCUUCAUGAUCGAAACUGCCCAUUGAGCACGUGUUUUUGGUCCCAAAUUUCCAUCUACAUUAUCUUGUACAGGGUUCAUAAAUGUCAAAGCUUCCAUGAUCAAGCCAACAUAAAUAGUACAAUCAUUAGUUUGACCCUGUCGUGGUGUUAUAGCUUCUUCCAAUGGCAGAUCCAACCUUAGUGGUUCGUUUUCCAGCUCCAUCUUAAAUCUUUUGUUGAUUAGGAGAACAAGAUGGUUCUUCUGUUUUUCAAGCAAAAUUAAUAUGUUAUCAACUUUUGUUUUCUUAGAAAAAUAAAAUUAUAAACACAAAUCAAUAUGUUAUCAACAUAAACCUACACUAGACAUAGUGACUGAUAACAUGAUGUUAUCAGGGAAACCAAAACUGAUAACAUCAUGUAAUCAGUGAAACCUACAUUGGCCAUAGUGACUGAUAACAUGAUGGUAUCUGAUAAGAUACCAAAACUGAUAACAUCAUGUUAUCAGGGAAACCUAUACACAAGUAUGCACAACUCUUCUACUCAUAACUACAUAACAGUUUUAUCUUUUCUUUCACGGUUUCACCUUCCAGUAGUUAUAUAUCCCUACGCUUUUCAACUUCUUUAUUCUAUUAAACAUCGCGAUCAUAAUUAUUAUAAUCUAUAUCAAAUGUUUGAUUUAUGGAUUAAUGAUUUCACUGUGUAUCCAUUAAUAAGUUAAUAUUACAGUUUAUGUAAACGCAUAAACCCAAAACCCACAAUCUGAUCAGUAAAUAAGUAAUUCAACCAAUUUCCAAAUCCUUUUAACAUAUAUAGAGAUUCAAAAUAACUCACAAAACCCUAAAAUCUAAAUUAAACUAUCUUUCUAAUUCGUCAAUUUAAACCCUAAUUAAAAUAAAUAAAAAAAACGUUAUUGAAAUUCACAAUCGUCAUUUUUCUUCUGUGAAUCUAAUUUGGAUUCUUCGGAGGAUUUUUCAAUGUUUACCGCCAUUUUUUUUUCUCUAAAUUUCUCUUCUGAGUUCGUUUUGAAUUAAAUUAAACUUGUAGUUUUUAUAAUUUUCUCCUUAUAAAAUGGCAUAAUCAAAACCUCCUCCUUAAUAUGCGCACUCAAUUUUUCGUCAAAUAGGGUUUUGACUAUAAUAUCUAUCAAUAAUAAGGAUAAUAGACAAAUAAUUAAAUAAGUAAAAGGACUAGAUACUAAUAAAUAAAAAUUGGAAAAAUAAAUAAACACACCACCAUUAAAAUGAACCAGAAGAGUUACUAACACGAAAUAUCGGUAAGUAGGUUUUACUUUUACCCUGAUAACAACAUAGACCUAUGAAUAUUAGGUACUUACCAUCCCGAGAAAACACUACCAUUCGCGAGUUCGAUUUGAGAGGAUAGAUCAUUAUAAAUUAAAAAUAUUCCUGCCUGUACAAUAAAACUAAAUUAAAUUUGUGUUUUUGGAAUGUAAAAACACAGAUUAAAUUUCAUUGAGAGUAUUCAAAGAAAAACUUACUCAUCUUAUUACCACUAAGGCUACACUCAUUGAAGUGAUGGAACAUAAAUGAUACAAAAAGAAAAAGAAGAAGAUAGAAAAUGAAAGAGAGAUAAGUAGACUUGUAAGUUUAUUCCUACACUUGUUCCAUACUGCCUAUAUAUAAAGCUGUGAGUUUAUAUGUUCCUACACUUGUAAGUAUAUUUCCACAUGGCAAAAUUUCGAAUAAUCUACAUUUGCGUAUAAGGUAUACAAGACUGACACCAUAAUUUCAAACCUGCUCUUUUUGAUUCUUUCUUUUGUGAUAAGUCUUUAUGAUAUGUUUCUGGCUUUUCAGAGAAUAUCUCUGCAUCUAUCUGACCUUUAGCAGCAUCAGCUUUGAUUCUGUUGUACCUGUUACUAAGAUGAGUUGCAUCUGUGCCAAACUACAAAUUAAUGUGUUUAAAGAUGAUUAGAUUGUUAUAAACUUAUAACUUAGAAGAUCUGAGAGGUUUUGAAAUAGCAACUAAGGCCAAGAAGUAUUCCAUCCCGUGUGCUGUGGCUGCUGCCAAGACUGUGAUUCAUAUCAAAAAGGAGGUGUUGGUUUGAAAACUGUUGACAAGUUUUGGUAAGCUUGGGUAUUAGUGGCUUAGUACUAAUUAGUAGUAGAGUGGCUUGUUACUGUUACAUUUUAAAUGACAGUUUUUCAUAUGAUUCAAAAACUUGAGUUGCGCACCUCCCUUGCAUGAUCCUAAAGUCAAAGAUACUCACUAUACUGUAUAUGUACAACAGAAUCAAAGGUGAUGUAGCUAUGGUCAGAUACAGAGAUUCUCUGAAAAUGUCAGAAACAGGUCUGAAUUCUGAACAUAACAAAGACUAGAAAAAAGAAUCAAACUAUGAAAUUAUUGUCAAACACAGUUUAUAUAUAAUGUCUGUGACUCAAGUUUGUUUUUUUGGAAAAAAAUGAUGUGUUAAAGUUUCUUGACCACAGAUUGUUUAAUCAGUUGUGUACUUUGAAAUCACAUUUGCAGAACUGCUGGAAAUGCAGAGUACUGAACUUGAGAUAGUUUGUCAUACUGUACACAUUUCUAUAUGUUAUGGACUGUCUGGAAAGCUAGGAAUGAUAGUUGGUUAGUUACACAGGGGACAGCCUAUAAAAACUGUAAACGUAUUCAACACAAACGGAUUACUGGUCCGAGAAAUGUAGUGUCUUCAACAGUGACUGUAUAGUAGUCUUAUUCUACCAGAAAAAUAAAUUCCAAGUCAACAGAUCAACAACCAUGGGACAGAGAACCAAAGAAAUGAAUGAAAAUAGAACAAGUUCACAACACAGCAUGCACAAAUUUUCCUUCUGUUCUCAUUGGCAGCACUACGCAAGGAAUGCAGGUCUAGAUAUUAGUGCAAAGCUCACCACCCCUAACUGGAAACUAAACUAAGUUUUGAACAAAUUUGACUCCUUGAGAAGGACAGUAGUUGCACGAGUUAAACCUCACAAAUAAAUGUGUGCUUCUACACCGUUUGGAUUCUCUGUUAUAUACUUAUAUUGUAACUAUGAAAGGAUUUUUACAUUUAUACAUGAACAUUACUGCAUCCUUAGUUAAUAAAGGUUGCCUCCUAGCUCCUAGGUUUUAAUUAAACUCGUUCACAUCCCUGCAUACCUUGAGGAUAACACUCAUAUCUUACAAAAAAUCACAAUCUAUUCAUCUUUUAUGUAUGUUGUGGCCACAAUAAAACUUAUAAGCAACCUAAAGUUAAAGAUACUCGCUAUUUACAACAGAAUCAAAGGUGAUGUAGCUAAGUUCAGAUAUGCAGAGAUACUCUCUGAAAAAACAGGUCUGAAUUCUGAACAAAACAAAGACUCAUUCAUUAAACUUAGAAAGUGUAAGAACAGAAACACACAUUAUAUAUAUAUGCAUCAUGGAAUAGAUAAGAGUAGGACUACUCCAAAGUGAAGCCUAGCUACAUCUCUGUCUUCUUUCACUUUCUAUAUUCUUCUUUGCAUCCUUUUGAUUUGUAUCAUGCUCCAUGAUAUAUAUACAUACAAGGAAAACAAGGGUAUAUUAAGUUUGCUUUGAAAACUCUCAUGAUUUCAUUGAAAUUUUAUUUUUGGUUUUUAAAUUUAGAAAACAUAAUGAUUAUUCUUUUUGUGUUAUGGACAGGAAUAUGUUUUAUAACGAUCUAUCCUCUCAAAUACUCAAAUCCAAAUCGCUCCUGUAGUAUUUGGUUAGUACCAGAACUUUCACACACCUAAUGUGGAAACAAUUACUUUACCCGAAAAGUAGUUGUUGAAGAGAACGCGUCGAGUCUCCUGAUGAUAGACUGAGAGGUAGGUCUGUUAAAACGGCCCUUAGGCCCUUGGCCCGACCCUGUUCGGCCCGGCCUUUUCGAUGAAAAAGCCCUCUAAGUCAAGCCCUCCCAAUUUUAAGGGCCGGGUCAGCCCGGCCCUGAUGUAUAUAAGGGUAGGGUCAGGGCCAAUAUUUAAAAUGUGUAACCCGGCCCUAAGCCCGACCCUUAUUAAGCCCUAAUUAAGCCCUUUCAUAUUUUAUAGUUAAAUUCAUUUAUAUUUAAUAAAAUACACAUUUAAAAAUUGUCGGGCUUUAAGGCCCGACCUAUGAGCCCGGCCCUCAACCCUUUAGAAAAGGGUAAGGGUAGGGUAAGGGCUUAAGUAUUUUGAUGUCAACCCGGCCCUAUCCCGGCCCUCAUGAAUAGUAAGGGUAGGGCUGACCCGGCCCUUAAGACUAUAGGGCUUAAGUGUUGAAGGGGCUAGCCCGGCCCAUUUCACAGCCCUACUGAGAGGAGGAGAACUUCAAGACAACAUGUUUUCUGACUAGGACCAAGUGACCAACCAUAUGCUAGCAAUACUUCCCUAAAUUUAGAAUCAUCUCCUGGGGAAACAUGAAGUUUUCACUUGAAGUAUUAAUUUGAGUUAACCUCUAGGUGGAUAAAUUAGUAUGAUCAAAUAAUAACUUAUCUAAGAGCAUUCCUAGUAGUAAAAGGGUUUUAGGAGUAGCACAUAACAUAAGGGAGAGAAUGAGCUUGAUCCACCGUUUUUAAUUAAAUGCAAUACAUUCGUCUAAGAUUACUUAAGGUAGUGAAAUAUUUGCUGCAGCAAAGUAUUGUCAACGAUUGAACAACUCAAACAAAAAUUAACGUGAUGAAAAUGAGCAAAAACUGUCAUCGCUAUUAAUAUAUGUUCGGUUAAUAUAAAUUAAACUUGCAAGAACUGAUUACCUACAGAUUGUGUAAUCAGUUUGAACAAUAUUGAGAGAUGAACUGUGAAUAUUUACAACUGAACUAUAUAUCACAUUUGAACAACAUUAGAUGUACAAAACUGACGGAAAUUUUUAACAUUAUGUAUAUAUCACAUGUGCUUAGUUACUAUUUGUAUUUGUGAAAGAGAUGGCCAAGCUACUAGAAGAGAUCUUAAAGACUGAGUUUGAAGGAUUGAGUGGAAAAUUCCAACUAGUCAAUAGGCAGGUUGGGUAAUUCCGUGACUUGAUCGAUCAUCUUUAAUUAAAUGCAAUACAUUCAUAGAAGAUCACCCCACUUCAAUAAUUGCAAAUCUAGUGAAGUAUUUACUGCAACAACCAUUCUUAACUAAUGAAAUUUUUGUUGGUUAUUAUUUGUAAGUUUUGAGAAUGUGAAUUUAAAUUUACAAAAAAUGCAUAAAUAUACUUCACAAAUUAGGAAGUUCGAUCGUGGCAAGAAGAAUGUACUCCAUGCUUUGCAGCAAGAUCUGUUAAUGUUUUGUCCAUAGACCAUACAAACAUACCCUGGAUGCAUUUGAUCCAGAUUUCUGGAACAAUAAUAUCUUCUCAGCUGUCUGAUGUGGGAGAGCAUAUACUUGAACUUGUGCAAACAGUUCAGAGUAUAACUGAAAUGUUUUCUAAAGGCUAGCGAUGAGAAGGAAGUCCAGCUUAUAAAGUCUUUGAACUUGUGAAGAAGCUGCAAACAAGGUGAAGAACUAGGAAGACCUUUCUACUGCGAAGAAAGCCCUGGCAGGAACGCUAGGGAUUCUACUAAACCUGCGCUGAAGAAACUCAAGCUCUUGAAGGUUGAGAGGAUAGAUCAUUAUAACACAAAUUCUUGUCAAACCAUAUAAAAAAACUUAGCUUUAAUACUUUUUUAAGUCUACAGUCAUGAAACAUGAUUUAAAUCAAAAUGAGAUAAAGAAGAAAAUGGCAGAGAGAGAAGUAGACUUAUUUUGGGGUAGUGUUAUCUAUUCUUGCGCCUGUUGUCUCUGAUUCUUUCUUUUCAUCCUUCAUUCAUGAGUCUUUGUUCUGUUUAGAAAGCAGAGCGUAUCACUAUAUAUCUGACGAUAGGCUACUACAUCACCUUUGAUUCUGUUGUACAUAUAAUGAGUAUAUUUCUUUGACUAUAGGUUGCUAAAUAAGCAACCCAUUAAAGAAGAAUUGCAUAUGUGCAAACCAAGUGACACCAAACAUGAGGAUUGGCCAACAAUAUGCUAGUUGAUACCCAACCUGGUAAGCUGACUACUUUACCCUACUAUUAUUUGAGCCUUCCUUGUACAUGCACAUGUAUGUGGGUGUUUUUCGGCUACUCAUAUAGGCCGCUAUUGUGAUAAAAGGAUGUCCGAGUGCUAUUUACACUAUGCACGCAGCGACGCAGAUGACAACCUUUUGCCGUUGUUUCCUAGCAAAUUGUGUUCCCCGAGUUCCUCUGUGAGUCAUCCCAAACUGUGCAGCGGACUGAGUUAAUCGCUUAUUUUUACGAAAAACAACAGAGUUUUUGGUUAUGGCAUGUACUGUCAAAUCUGAGGCAUGAUCGAGAUUAGCCUGAGUCCUGAGAGGUAUCAACAGUUAACACUACAUUAAAAUUUAUUUAUGCAUCAUGCCUCAGAUUUAUUUAAAAUUUAUUUAUGCAUCAUGCCUCAGAUUUAUUUAUGCAUCAUGCCUUAGAUUUAAGUUGAAAAUCUCAAAUAAUCUACUAAUUGUAUUCUCAUGUCAUGUAUUGAAAGAUAAUCUCAAACUUGCUUAGUUUGAUUCUUCACUUCCAUGCAUCAUGACUGAGUCUUUGUUAUAUUCAGAAAUCAGACCUGUUUCUGGGUUAUUCACAGAGUAUCUCUGCAUCUAUCUGAUUUUAACUACAUCAUCUUUGAUUUUGUUGUACAGAGUGAAUAUCUUUGACUCUAGGUUUAAGAAGAAUUGCAUAUACGUUAUAUGAACUACCUCAUUUUGGAGACAACUAUCGACUUCUAAGGAUCAUCGCAUACAAAAUUUUCACUUCCUAACAGUGCAGAUCACGACUAAGACUCAGAUUCAGACCGCGAUUCAAUAAAAAAAAAAUUUCUAUACCAAAUACUGUACCAUUUUGACAAUCUAACCAUGAAAGUAGCCAUUUCGCAGUCAGCCCUGUGCGGAUCGUGCCACCGAUCGGGUUUUAUACACAUCCACAUCACAAAUUUAACCAACCCGAUACUGUAGUGUAACAUCUAUGGUGUAACUGUCUCGCAUAAAAUUGGGUCCUGAUUACAUUCUUCAUAAUGGUACUGUAAAACUGAUCAGAUUUAAUGAAAUGGCUCAAAGCAUACUCAAUCCAAUCCCAAUAGAUCGGGGUAGAUGGUACCUAAUGCCAUCUCCCCACUUUCAUUAUAGUAUUGUAAAUUGAUGUACUUGGAUAAACAUGAACAAGUUACCAAAUGCCAUCAUCCCAAAUUUUAAGAAACAUAAGCUCACCAAGAGAAAAACUCGUAGCUCAAUAUUUUCCGAUACCACCUAAUCCCAUCAUCCCCACUCCAGAAAUCGAAGCAAACACAGGCUGAAAAGAACCCGUCUUUGAAUUUUUCUAAUAACAAUGUCUUCUUUAACUUUCUGGAUGAGAACAGGACCACAGAACUCAUGUUUGUUGUCAUCAAAACAUGCUCGAAGAACGCCAUGUGUAAACGUAGACAACUUUCUGCUUUUAAGAGACUCAAGUUCGUCAUCAUUGUCCUGUCUUCAGUUCAGAUUCAUAGACAACUUCCCUGCAAUUAACGAAUAACAAAUUACUCCAUUUCUUUGCAGACAGAACACUGUUAAGCAAAAUUCUCAAGCGAUGGUAAAGCAAUAAAAAACAGAGUGAUACUAAAACAGAAUCAUGCCCUAAACUGAACUAUAUGAUGUACUAGGAUAAACAUGAACUAUAUGCUACUUACAAUGGCAUAUUUGGCAUAUACCGACAAAUACUCUUGAAUUAUGAUCUAUUUGUUCCGGAUAUCUCAAGACACAAACUCUCUCCCACGAACUAUAUGAUUUAACAAAAAAGACUGAAAAAUAAACAAACAGUUAAACACAUUUGAGGUAGGGAACAUUGACAGGAAACCAGUGAAUCAAGUCAGCUAGCAAAUGUUCAUUGGGCUCACAUCAGAUUCGGAUAAACUCACAUGUCUAAGUAAACGAUAGACGAACCUAAUUGAUUCGUCUAAACCUAGUUUGUUUUCGUUACUGAAAGUAGCUAUUACAUAUAAUAUUAUGAUAUUAUCAGAUAAUAUUUCAUAGUGAUAGAGUAUAUAACAAUGUUACUAGUUCAAGAACAACUACGUUACAAACCAACACAGAUGUUUAAUGAUCUCUCGUCUACCAAUAUGUUGAUCCAUCCAAAGGGGAAACAUCACUACUGAUUUUUUUAAAUAAAUGUAUACCUAUAUAAAAACUUAUUGCAACAUUUUGUCACAUACUUGGAGUACACACAAAGGAGCUACAACCCACAUUCUCAAAACUUUCAAACAACCAACCAAAUUAUUAAAUGCAGGAUAUAUGUUCAGCUUAAAAUAAUUGCAUUGCCCAUGAGUCAUGACAAAGGGACUAACCUGCCCGAAUUGCUGCCUUACAUUUUUGAUACGUUCCUCAACUUGUUCUGCAGUCAAAAGAUCAGUCAUACACUUUGUCUUUCGUUUUCCAAAAUAAGUUCCUGCCACAUUAUCUGCAAUUUUUGGCUCCGUAUCCUCCUUUUCAACCAAGACAGACACAUGAAGCCCUUCAUCCACGACUGGAGUUUGAUGUGGAGUUUGAUGUGGAGUGUCAAGUAAUUGCAUGACAUCGUCCGAUGCUUGAGACGUCUCAUUAUCAUAUAAAUUAGGUAUAGAAAGAUGCUUCACAAUCUUUGGUUGUUCUGGAAGAGGGCGUAUCAUAUCAUCUAAUAAACCUGUAUCGCACAGCUCAUCAGAAUCUCCAUCAAAAGGAAGCACAUCCAAUUGCUGAUACAUAUGAGGAUCUUCUGCUGGAUGGUGAGGUUGAAUCAUGUCAUCAUCCCCUUGUCGAAAGUUUUCUUUAGAAGACAGAUAAGGAAGCGAGCCAUCAAUCUUUUGAAUAUCUUCUGAUAAGGCAGUAGACAACUGUAUACCAGAAUCUCCUUUGAAUUUAUACAUAUCAAUUGUUGAGAUAUAUGACUAAAUUCUUCUGAAGGGCUUUGUUGAUGCCUGUCAUUAUACCACUGAGGAAAGGUAUCAUUGCUAAGCAACAGAUAAGGAAGAAAGCCAUCCAUCGUCGUCUUUCUUUUUCUAGGCAGUGGUUGUAGUAUAUCUUCUAAAUAACCAUUACAGGACUGUCGACCAAAAUCUGCCUUAAUAGGAAGCCAAUCAACCCAUGAAUGCAUGUGAGGACUGAGGAGCUUCUUCUUGAAGACAAGGUUAUGGGUUGUAUAACUAUAUGAGAGAAAAAGAGGCCAACAAUCUCUCUUAGAGGACUGUCCACUAAAAUUUCCCAAAUAACCAUUAGAGGACUGUUCACCAAAAUUUCCCAAAUAACCAGAAGAAAAAUAAACUCAAUCAAGAAAGCCUCAUGACUCAUUGUUUUCCGAUACCACCUAAUCCCAAACAACCCACAUUCUCAAAACUUUCAAACAACCAAACAAAAUUAUUUAAAAAAAAACACAUACUACGGUUCAAAUGAAUACUUACAUAACGAUUGAUGAAUGAAACAAUCAAGUCAAUGUUUUCCAAUAAUACCCAAUCCAAUCAUUCUUUUGCUGGAAAGAGAUCUGUCACGUCCGGAUUUCCCAAGACCAUCUCUUACAAAUCAUUUCUCAUCUACAAGAUCUUCUUAACCACAAAAAGAAAUGGAACAAAGGAGUAAAAGAAAUGGAACAAAGGAGUUUAGAAGGCAAAAUUGCUGAACGUUAUCCCAAAAUUUAUCAAGAAAAAACCAAUCAAUCAAAAAAGUCUCAUGGCUCAUUGUUUUCCGAUACCACCUAAUCCCAUCAUCCUCACUUGAGAAAAAAAAAAAAAUUCACUCAUGGAGAUCACAAAUUGCCCCAAAUUAUAACUGCAGACAGAAUAUAUACAGCUAAACUGCCAUUAAAUCCAUUAAUGGCAUAAAUAUAUACAGCUAAACUGCCAUUAAAUCCAUUGUGGACAGCUAAACUGCCAUUAAGUCCAUUAAUGGCAUAAAUAUAUACAGCUAAACUGACAUUAAAUCCAUUACGGAAGCAUCUCCAAUGGUUGGGCUAAAAUAGAAGCCCCAACUCAUCUUUUAAACCUUCAAAGUGUACAUUAUAGUAUUAUACAAUGUCUUAUUAUACAAGCUAAAAAAGAGCCCAAUGAUGUAGCGUAAAUAUAAUAACAAAAUUUGUCCAAAAAUCCAAGAAGAAAAUGAACACUACGGCAGUUCUCAAGAGUAUGGAGGGGUAGUUAGGAGAAAGGCCAUUACAGAGUUUAAUGAAAAAAGUUUCAAAUAUAAUUAUAAGGUUUUGGUAGAUAAUGAACACAAAAUAGAUUUUUCAUCACGAAGAACACACGACAUAGUAGUUUCUGUCUCCUAAAUGAUCAAAUAAUUAGUCUUCCAAAUAUCACAUCACACCUUUAUGAUAAUGGAUAUAGACCUCAAUAAAGUUCAUUCAUUUGAUAACCAUGGAGGUAGUAAUGUAAAUGAUGCGAAUUUAGGUCGGACUAGGGUAUGUAAAUAUUCAAAACCAUAUUUAUUUACUUCAAACCAGAUCCGGAUCCAAACCCAAAUUAAAACUUCAUGUAUGAACCAUAUCCAAACCGUUUUACAUUAAAUAUAAUGUACAACAUCUGAGUUGUGGUUUUAUAAAGCCCAAACCCAAACCCUAAGUAAGUUGCGGUCGGGUUAAUAUUUAAAAAUGAAACAACAAGUAAGUUGCAGUCCAGUUAGAGUUGCGGUCCAGUAACUUGGGUGUGGCUUCUAUCGUACCGCAAGAGAGUUGCAGUCUGGUAAAAUCUUAAUUCGAAACCGUAAGAGAGGUGUGAUCUGAAACAUUUAUUCAUGAUACCGUAAGAGAGUUAUGGUAUGGUAGGUAAUUUUACCUUGACCUCAUUCUAACGUGUAUGUUUAUGAUUUACCCCUUUACCUAACAGAAUGAGGCCAAUGCUAAAAAUCUGUUAUUUGACAAGCCACCGUUAAGUAACAAAAAGUGUAAACCAAAUGCUAUUAUACACUUAGCCUAACCAUUGGAGAUCGAUGCCUUUAGAGAGUGAGAUGGAGAGCAGAGGAUAAGUAUGAUCAAACCUAGUAAUGUGUUGCUCUAUGUAUUGUUUUUUCACAAGUGCAAUGCAUUCAUCGAAAUUAAAUAAGUGCAUAAGGUUGUGUAAUAUUUGCUGCAACAAGGCUUGAUUAAUAAAAAUCAUCUUCAAUAGUUGGAAAAAGUUAUGGAUUCCGAAACCAUGACCAUAAUACUAUGGAAAAUUGAAUCUAAGGCUUACACAACUACACUCACUUUCCCAUCUGGUGUAACCCUAUUAAAAAUUUUGAUGAUGAAAUUCAUAAUGCUGGCGCUUGCCUUCUUUUUUCGCCAGGCCCCUGUUUGUGCUAAUGGGACAAUUUUCUUAAUGAUGGCAAAAUUACAAAUCAGUUCUCCGGUACAUAUUAGAAAACCUAUAAAAAAUGUUGUCUUGCAGUCCUGAUCAUAAUGUUGUUGUGAAGCUGAUCAGGGGCUGAACUCUAUCGAGAAGUGUUAUCAUCGUUCCAAGCCAUCAAGAUCACAUCCAUCCAUUUUAUCCACACCAGCCACACUUGUCAUUAAAACACUGCAGACAUGAUCAAGAAAUCUUGGUCAAUAUUGUAUUACUUUAGUAUAUGUUCAAUCCAUUUCUUUGCUUGGUCUACUUAAAAAUUGUUAAGAGAUAAUUUCUUGUUUACAGAUCAGAUGAUAUAUGAAUGUUACUUACCAGAUUAUUUUUUCAGAAACGCGAGUUGGAUUUUGAGAGGAUAGAUCAUCAUAACACAAAUUCCUGUCAAGACAUAAGAAAGUUUACCGUUAUUUCUUCUAAGGCUACACUCAUGGAACAUGGUACAAAUCAAAAUGAUGAAUGAAAGAAAGUUUAAGAGAGAGAUUAGUAGACUUCACUUUGGAGUAUAGUCUUACCUAUUCUUGUUCCAUGUUGCCUCUAUAUAUAUAGGCUUUCAUGUUUGAAAAUUUCUUUUCUGAAUGAGUCUUUGUUAAUAAUGUUAUUUUCAGAAUUCAGACCAUGGUUCUGGCUUUUUCAGAGUACCUCUGUAUCUGAUAGCUACAUCACCUUUGAUUCUGUUGUACAUAGAACAUAGUAUCUUUUGACUAUAGUCUAUAGGUUGCUAAUAACUUAAUAAGCAACCCAUUUAAUAAGAAUAGCAUUUGUGCCAAACUGCCAUCAUAGAAAUGAAGUUCUACAUCGCUUAUGGUGAUAUACUACAUCGCCAGUGACUAGAGGGAUCAUCUCUUGGAUCAGUGCUUCUUAUGACUAGACUCUAGAGGGAUCAUCUUCUGGAUCUUGCAACUACCAUUUUCAGCACAUAGAUGACUGCAAUGAUCGAUGUUAGUAGUCACAAAUCCAGCCUCCAAUGCUGGUGUCGUGUUUCAGUGUGUGCUUUAUAGAAUACUGUGUCUGUCACUCCAUGCAUGACCAGCUAUUAUAUGCAGUGAGAAUGGGCAAAUGACCAGCUAUAGUUUGUUUAGGUCAGAGUUUUUCUAUAUGUUUAUUGAAUCCAUCUACAAGAGAAUACAAGAUUGUAGAUAUGUCUGAUACAGAUGAGCUUGAUACAUAUGCUUCCUUUCACUCACAUGUUUAUGGAUUUAGGUAUGAUCAAACUAUUGAAGAUUACAAACUGGUGCAGUUUAAAUUUCUUCUUUAAGGUUGGGAUUAUAGGCAUUCUGAUCAAGUCCUGGUUUACUCACUAAAUAAGGUUGUGUGCUCGAUUUCUCUUAAACUUGCUAAAAGAAAAUGUGAUUCAGCCCUAGUAAUAAUCUGUUUUGAUAUUAAGGAGAACACGUUUCGUGAGAUGUUGCCACCUGUUGCUAAAUAUACUGCUGACACUACUCUGGGUGUGCUAGAAGGAAAAUUAUGUUAUCUUGGUAGGUUUUGUGGUGAGUUUAUCGAUAUAUGGGCGAUGAAAACUUAUAAUAUAUGCAAGUGACUCGUGGUAUAAAUUAUUUUUCAUAGGGAAAAAUGUUCUUCCAUUAGCUCUACUUCCUACUACAGCAUUGUGUUUUGCUCAAAGUGGUAACAUUGUAUUGAGGAAUGGAAGAAAACUCAUUGUGUAUGACCCAAAGAAAAAAACAUUUACCUAUAUGGAUUACAAGGUGUGUAUUGGAGUAAAAUAGAAGCGAUAGUGCCUCAUGUUGCGAGCCUAGUUCCAUUAAAAUCAGGUACAUAUUUGAGACAAUCAAGGAAGACUUCAGUCAAAACUUCAAAGAUAAAAACACGAAAACGAAGAAGGGAGGUGUAGUCCAGGUGACUAUGUGAUAUUGUGCUUGCAACUUUCUGAAUAUGCUAGCUACUGUGAUAUUGUGAGCCUUGGGACAAUCCAGAAGUUGAGCUUUUGAUUCAAUUCAGUUCUCUGUCAUUGUUUGUUGAGGCUAGAGCAUCGUCGCCAGAAAAUUAAAAACUUUCAUUAGGGAAAUGUUAGAAUAAGUUUACUUUUGAGGGUCGUAUUAGCACCAAUGAAAUCUAUAUGUUAGAUUAUUAACUUUAAUAUAUCAAGUUAAUUUUUUUAAUAUCUAAUUUAUCCUACACAUUUGGUGUAUCCAUGCUAGGACAUAUUGUGUCCUACACUCCUGCUAUUUGGUUUUUCUUGCAGCAUUGGUCUACAAAUUGAGUCCAUUUCAUAACAUAUAAGGUACCCAAACCAUGAAACUAGAUGCAGAGAAAGAAUGAUGUUGGAAGCAUAGAAUUCAGUUGAAUGCGCAACAGAAAGCAGGGUGCUCUGUUUCAAGAUGGUCUCAAAAUCCAAAUUGUCCAACUAAGAUACAAAAGAAUACAAGGGCAUUCUGUUUGUCUACGAGUUGGAAAAUAUUACUUAUACAUGACUCAAAACUCGUUAUUCUAAGGGCUGCAGUUAAAAAAAAAAAUAACAAUUUGAGAGCCUUUUUUCUUAUAUUACACAACGAGACCUGAAAGCUAUUGGUACUAUCUUGGACAUGGCGAACGUAGAUAUAAUUUAAUUGGCUUCUAAUCCACCAGCAUAUGUAACGCUCGUGGAUGGCAACCAGAGAUCUCCAUUUAUAAAAUUAGCCACAGUGAAACUUUCAGCUUCUGAUGAAUUCAUUACAUGGUAACCUGGCCACUUAACCCUUCUAUCAAGAUUGGCUCCAGGUCCACUAUUUCUGUAUUCCCCAUAAUAAAGUUUAUCCAACCUCAUUGUGUCAUUCCAAGGCUUCCACCCUUCAGGUCUAAUAAUGUCACCUAAAUAAGACUGCAUGAAAACUGUUCUUGCAUACUCCCUCCAAGGUCUGCCUAAGAAUGCAGACUUCUUACUGCUUGGUAUAAAAUCAGAUGAAAUAUUACUAAAUUGGAUUGAAAACCCUGUUGUUAGAUUCGAGCUGAUACGACUAUGGGCUGUUAUGUAUGAACUGCCAGGUUUUCUAACCAGUAUGGUGCAGUUUUGGAAGACUGCAGUUCCCUUUCCGAAGAUGAAGUCCACAGUCCCAGUGAUCUCACAUUCUCGGUAGAAUUGGCGAUUGGAGUGCACAUACAAAGUGUCUUGAUAUCCACGAAAGCGGCAUUUGUAGAACACUGAGAGAUCUGAAUUUGAUCGGAGUGCAACAGCUUGACCUAACUUUGGCCCUGCUGUGUUCUCUAUUGUCAAAUUGUGCGCCAUAAAUCUUUGGCCACUGACAGCUGCAAAUGAACCCAACGGAUUAAAUAAUUAACGAGCACUCAAAAAAACGUAAAGCUUAAUUUCUUUUUGAAAAAUAAGAUUAUACUCACAUAAGGUAGCAGUUGCAUAUGUUUUCAAUUUGUGUUUACUUCCAAUGACGCUUCGAUUACCAGAUAUGAUAGUUGAGUCCAUUCCAUCUCCAAUCAAAAUCAAAUUCCAUUUGUCUUUUUUAAUUUCUACAUUUUCUUUAUAUGUACCAUUUUUAAUGUAAAUAAGGUAUUUUUGCUUACUCUUGCUAGGAGCAGCUAAUACAGCAUCCAUAAUACUAAUGAAAUCUCCUGAUCCAUCCUUAGCAACAACAACAAAAGUUGAUACUGGAAUUUCUUCGGAUGGCUUUUGUCGUGUUUGAAAAUUACCAUUAUCACCAAAUGAAAUAUCACUUACCAUGCCAAGAAUGUUUGAGACCUGGAAGAUUAUUGACUGGAGAUUGUUAAUAAAGUUUAUUUUGUCUAAACCUUGCACACCUUGAAGCCCUUCAAUGCAUGUAUAUUGGUCUGAAAUUGCUGCACUUAACCAUGUCUUUAAAUCUGCAUUCCUGUUUCCAGUGCCACAAGAUUCACCUGUCACAAAUUUUUGAAUGAGUAGAGGUCAUACUUACGACUUUAUUAGGGUGAAUCUGACAUUAGAAUUAGCAAAACGAAAAUAGCGGUAAAACAAAUUUUACUAAGAUUAUACUUACAAUCGAGGUACUGUAUUACUGAUUGGGACAUACUAAGAUCAUCCGUUGUAUCAUUAAGCAAUUCAACGCAAUCACCAAUCGCAUUCAUCAUCCCAGUAUCUUUAGAUUUAUCUGCAAACAUCAACACAGCAAGAUUUUGUGCCACCUUCACAUUUUCAAUUGUUGAAUUGAUUGCUGAUAAGAAAACUGAUGAAGGAACUGUCAUGUAGUUUAUAUUAAGAACAUGAUCAGAAGUAACUACAAGGCAAGGAUGUAAAAAGAAGUGAUGAAGACAGAGAAAAACAAAAGCUAGAUUCAAUGCAUGAAAAGCCAUGGCUGGUUGUGAAGAAUGUGAUAGCAUAAAGACUUUAUAUAAUGGUUGUGUACUUGUAUGUAUGUAACUGGGAAAGAGAAGUAGUGUUGUAUUUGAAAUUUUAUUAAACAUACAUUGAACCAAUAAUUAAUACUAUAAUUAAAUCCAUUAGAGAAAUAGUGAAAUACAUUAAUGACUAAUAAUGUUUAUACUUUGUUUUAGGCCAAUUGGUUUAGAAUGUUGAACAAUGUGAGUUGCUUAAGCAAAUUUGACCAUAUCAUAAUGGCAAUUUAUAUCUUUUUUCCAUCUAUAGUGGACUAUGGAGUUAUGGUUAUGAACAAUGUGAGUUGCUUAAGCAAAUUUAACCCCUUGUUCACAAAAUGAAUAAAUGUAAAGAAGAAAAUGGUAUAAUGGUUCAAGGAAGAAAAUUUGUAGAAUUAAGAUGGCGUUCGGCAACUAAACAAUGAAGCAAACUUCACUUAACAGUCAUUGACUGAGCAGGAGCUCUUGAGCUCUUUUUUUAUGCUUUUGGAAGGGGUUCUCAUUUCGCGUGAUAGAUUGAACAGGAGGAAGUAUGUGGGUGGGGGAAAAUGCUCUGACCCAGUUAAACAGCAGAGGAAACCUCUAAAAGUAUAAUGUGGAGAAGGCUUUAGCCACAAACCGCCAAAACUAGGGUGUAACCGCCAUGUUGAGCACAUAAUAGCAUGCAAACAACAUUGUUUAAGUUCAACUUUUGCCAAGUUUUGUAUACAACAAGGUAUGACCUGUCCCUCCGGAACGCUUAUUUUUAAUUAUAUUUAAACUACUAAUUUUAUAUCCGCAUACAAAUCUAGAGGAUAAAAAUGGACAAUUGAUAGUUAAAUUGAUUACAAUAGUUAAUUUGAAUUUAUUUUUAUACUUGUAUUGAGUAACUCAAUGAUAAUAAACACCAAACAAAAAAUUGUGAUUGGUCUAAUAUGAUUUGCAAAGUCCUCUAUAUGUACAUAAUAGAGAUAAUUAAACAUUUUUGUUACUGAAAAAUAAAUCCUAUCUUAUUAUUUAUUGUAGAAAAAAAUAAAUUUUAACAGCGAUGAAAAUAAAGAACAUAUUAAAUUUUCAUAGCUUCAUCUUCAUGACUUUUGUCUUCUAAAUUGAUAUUUUCAAUUGCUUGCACGAAUCUUUUUUAUUAGUUUCACAUAUUUCAUUCUUUCUUGAAAAUAGUUGUUAGACCAUUUUUGGACUUCAUUUUUUUGUCAAGAAAAUCUUUGAGUUGAGCGUUUGACCCUAAACCAUAGCAUACGAUAUAUGUGGAUCACCUUCUUUUGAUCAUGAACCUAGCUUUACACCAUUUGCAACGUCUAGCUUAUUGUGAUGUUUGCAUAAUCAUUUCAUUUUUUAGAUGCAUUUUAAAGGUUAUUUCCUAUUCCAUAAUUAAUGAAGGCAUGUGUAGGUGUUAUCUUUUUUGAAAAAUAUGCCUCUAAGUAUGGCUUGUACAACUGUUUGAUAGAAUAGUCCUCAUGUCAUAUUCCAUAUAUGAAGGUUGAACAAUUUGGUCAAGCAACCAUCAUCACAUUGUACGAUAGAAUAGUCCUCAUGUCGUGGUUUAAUGAUCUAAAAGUUCGAAUAAGAAGAGGUUCAUGGAUAUCAUUCUUUGCAAGGUGUCAACCACCCUGUUGGAUUCCCUGUAUAUUUUCCAUUCUCACCUUCUGUAAUUUCCUAAACCAUGGAAGCCUAACUGAAAUUAUUGAGUUUCCCAUAAACUAUCUUCACAUUGCACUGAAAGUAUUUAUUUAAUCAUAUUCUAAUAAAACUUUGUAGAGGUUGUAGAGGUUGCUCAUAUUCUAGUAUGGGCAAAAGUGAACUGGCUGACCUUUGUGCUUCAUUGUUUAUUACCUUGAAAGAUUUCUUGGUGAAUCUGAUGGUUCAUUUAUCAUUCAGAAUAGUUGUUCUGUUGAUCUCAUAAGUUUCUUUGAAUUUCUAAAUAUCGGUUUUAUUACUUCCUGAUUUUGUGUGGCUGCAACAAAGAAGUUAUGGAAUUCAUUCAAUCAUUUGUAUAUAAAGAAAAAAUAUAUCUAACUAAUCAAUCAACAUUUACCACAGGUUUCUAUAAAAAAAAAAAAAAAAAAAAAAAAAAAAAAACAACAACAUCAACAACAACCACAUUUACCAUUAGUGAAGACAUGAUUUUCAAAUUGAAACUUGGCUUUGUUAGGUGAUAAUCCAUAAUAGUUUUUCUUCGAUGGAAACAUUUAGUUCCACAAUAGUUUGGUCCUUGAUAUUUCCAACAAUUCAACACAAAAAAUAUUGUUGAAAAGUAAGUAAUUACAUUAGUGAUAGUCCUUGCUAUCACCUCAACACGCCAUUAUAUCCAUAAAACAAAAUUUGUUGUUUCCGAAAACUUUGAUUUUUCUGGAAAUGUAUAGAUGAAAUUAAAACUAUUCACUUAUAAAUAAAAUUUGAAGCAUUGACAUGAAAGCAAAAACGAUAGUAUUAGGUUGAAAUCACUAAUAGAAUCGUUAGUCAAAUAUCAAAUUAAAAAUAGAAAUAUUAAUUAAUUGUAUAAAGCUCAUAUAGUCCAGGUUUAAGGAUGUGUUGUAUGUAUUAUUUGUAUAAUUGACUUUGGCUAUAGAUACUGAAAAUAAAAAUAAAAUUAAACACAAAAAAACUUGAAUUUCAAAUUUUUCUUUGUUGAAAAGGAGAAAAAAAAAACAAACAAAGUGUUCAUUGAUGAAAAUAUGAGAGUAGAGAGGUGAUAGAGGUUUGAUGGUAAGCUAGAACCGAUUGAUAACAUGGAGAGAGAGAGACGUAUGAGACAGAUAGAGUUGUAUGAUAGAAUCUAUACUCUCUAUUAAAGUUAGGCAUGCCCUUAAGCAAAUAUUCUCUCUCUAAAUUAUAGAAAAAUUGAUGCUCUAAUUGAAGAGAAAUUUAUUAAAAUUUAGAAUCGAAAGAUCAUUUUAGAACUUUUACGCAAUAGUUAAUUAGUAAGUCUAUUUAAGUAAUUUCACUCCAAAGUAAAUAUUUAAAGUUAACCAAUAUAAGAUAAACACUAAUCUGUAAACAUCAAAAGUUGAUCCAUAUGAAAAAACUAAUGCUUUAAUUGAAGAGAAUUUUGUUAAACCAAAAUAAAAAAAUUUAUUUAUUAAAAUCACAUAACUAAAAUUUAUCCAAAAUAUGUUCAAAAAUCAAAAGAAGUAAACACUAUAACUUGGUUAAAUCAAUAUAUUUACAAACCAAAUCAAUUGAACAUCUUAUCCAAAAUAUUGGUAUUUUGUCAAAAGUUAAAAUUAAAUCUUUUGUUGAAAAAAAUAAAAAUAUAGUAACAUAAGCAAAAUAAUGUCAAGAAUUUGGAUUGUGAGCUUGGAGAUAUAAUUUACACUCCAAAUUAAAAACGUCAAUUUAUAUUAUUUAAAUUGUUAAGAAAAAUAUAUAGGUAAACAAAUACAUUAAAUAAAUUCUCAAAAAAUAUUAUAAAAUGAUAGUAAUUUAUUAUUAUUAUUAUUAUUAUUAUUAUUAUUAUUAUUUUACAUUAUAUCUUUGAUGACUACACAAAAAAUGAGAGUAAAAUUUAAAUUAGUUUGAUCUAAAACUUAAAAAUAAAACCUUUAAAUCAGGACAACAAUAAUUUUAUGGAGGAAUUAAAAAAUAAAUAUACAUAUACAUAAUAAAAUUCUAUAAAAUAACAUGUAAAAAUCAAAAUCAAAUUAUAACAUGUAAAUCUUACAUAUAAAAUAACACCCGUGCGUUACACGGGUUAAAUAACCCAAUCUCUAGAAUCUCAUUAAAUCCCAAUCUCUAUAAUCUUCUGUGCAAAUCUUGACCAUCCUUUGUCUCUUUACCAAGUUUUAUAAGUGUCGGUUAUAAUAUAGAUCACACGAACUAGUCGAAAUGCAAUAAUCAUCUCAACCGGUUGAAAUGCAAUACAGUAAUUUACAAUAAGCUGUCAUCAAAGUUGGGCAUUUGAACAUGAACAUGAACAUGGUACCUUCAUAAACCUGUUAAGAGUGGUGAGCUCUUUGAUUUCGACCCUAGAGGCAUCGUGUUUGCUUCCCCUUUUAAGAAAGUUUCUCGUCAUUGAAGGUUUAAAAGCAAUUCAACAUGCAGGAAUGACAUUCUCUGUAUUUUUAGUACUGAAGAAAGGGAUGACAAACUAUCGCAAGCAUAGUACUCUUGCAUUUCCAGCAGUUCUGAGCCAUUCGAAAAGGGUAUAAUAAAGAAAUCAAAGCAUAUAAUUUUUACAAAUGUGAUUUCAAAGCAUACAAAUAUACAUUACAUGAACUACCUCAUUUUCGAGACAACUAUGACUUCUGAAGAUCAUUGUUUACAAAAUAAUCACUUCUUAAGCAGUGCAGAUCGCAACGAACAGACUCAUAUUCAGAGGGACAUUUGUCUGCAACAGUCAAUAUCACAACAAAUAUGAGGAACACAAUCCAAUCUUUACAGAGAAGCAAUAUCAAGAAUAACCACCCUGGACGUUGAAAUCUCAUUUCAAAUUACACAGUUUAAUUUUUUUUUUUUUGCAAACAAAUAGGGAGAUUAUAUUAAGAAUAAAAGAAUGUUACAGCAGAAAUGUUGGCUUAGAUCAAUAACAAAGCUAAGCAAAUCCGUAAUAGAUUUUGCCAGGACAUUCUAUAGCAAGUACAAAGUCAGGGCAUUAAGAAGACCAUAGUAUAUCCCCCAUUUACAACUGAGCACCACGCUUUGAAACUGCAUCCACUGCGAAAUUAACCUCCCUAUAGGUGUGUGUAAGUGUGUGUGAGUCUCCAACUGACUAGCUGGGUUGUGGCCAGCUUCCAUCGUGCGAGAAGAUGCUAAGAUACCCACCCAGAGGUGAAAGCAGUCACAAGAGCAAUGGAAAGUCUGCACAGUUCAAACAUUUGGGGUACAUUAACAAGAACAAACACCUUUUCAAUAUUUCUUCCGAAGCAAAUAUACCAUUUUGGAGUAUUAUUACUUACUUAACAUUGUUCAUGCAUGGUCACUUAAAAUCCCUUUUAACAAUCUAAACAUAAAAUUCAUUGUAACAUUUUGUAACCUACUUAGUGUGCCCAAAAAGCAGCUAAAACCCACAUUCUCAAAACUUUCAAAUAACCAACAAAUAUAUACAUAUUUUAUCACUUUAAAUGAAAAUUUACAUAAUAAUUGAAGAUCGAAUGGAACUUUUUUCACCUAAUUGGAUGGAGCAUAAACGUAAAACGAUUAGCUCAAUAUUUUCUGAUACCACCUAAUCCCAUAUCUAUCCUCACUUCAGAAAUCGAUGCAAACCAUCAAAGACCUGAAGAUGAAGUAGGGUUUUGUUUGCCCUAAAGCAAAUCAAAAGCUUGAAAAGAAGACACAAAUUUAGGGUUUAGGGUUUAAGGUUGAUAACAGCAAAUCAAGCAAAUCAAACAUGUACAACCGCCGCCCCAGUCCCAGCCUACAAAUCUGUCAGGUUGAUAACAACUUCCCUCAACUAUAACUCCCAAAUUCUCCAACAUAUCUGAGAGUGAAGUGUGUUCUCCAAACAGAGUGACCCAGAUGCUCCAUCGACUAAUCAUACAGUGGCUAUACAAAUAGAUCAAAGGGAACUAAAUGAAAGAGAAUCUGGAGUUUCAUCAAAGGGCGAGUUGGAUUUGAGAGGAUAGAUCAUUAUAACACAAAUUCCUGUUGAAGCAAUUUUUUGUAAAUUUCAAAACACCCAUAAGUUUCAGCAAUAUCAUUAGAGUUUUCAAAGAGAACUUACCCUGGUUAGUUGUUACUACACUCAUGGAGUGAUAGAACAUGAUACAAAAGUAUAAAACAAAAGGAUGGAAAAAAAAAACAAGAAGAGGACUGAAGAAGUAGACUUCAUUUUGGAAUAGGUCUUAUCUAUUCUUGUUCAAGGUUGCAUAUAUAUAAGUUGUGUUUGACAAUUUCAAAGCUAUCAGGAAUUCAGACCUGUAUUUCUGGCUUUUGCAGAGAGUAUCUCUGAAUCUGACCAUAGCUAUAUCACCUUUGAUUCUGUUGUACAUAGUGAGUACCUUUGACCUUAGCAGCUUAUAAGCAACCCAUUUAAAAAGAAUUGCAUCUGCGCAAACCAAUGUACGAUAAAUUAGCUAUUUUGGUCCACAAACUUUUACCAAAUUUUCACUUGAGUCCACAAAGUUGUAUUUGGUCAAUUUGGUCCGUAAAGUUUCAUUUUGUUUGCAAUUUGGUCUCAGGUUAAGUUUCCGUUUUGGAUCACUUAACGUAGGGUGAUUUGGCAGUUAAAAAUUCUAUGUUAAAUUUAAAUUUUAAAUUUUCUUUUAUUGUUUUUUGUGAUAGGUCAACAUAUGAGAAGUUCGUAGGAUUUUAAAUUUAACUGAGCAUAUACGAUUUUAACUGCCAAAUCACAUUCUAUAUUAUGUGAUUCGAAACAAAGACUUAACCUAAGACUAAAUUGCUAACAAAAUGAAACUUUGGAGACCAAAUUGACUAGAUACAACUUUGUGGACUCAAAUGAAAAUUUGAUGAAAGUUUGUGGACCAAAAUAGCUAAUUUAUGUAACUUGAAAGACCAAGUGACACCAUUUUUUUUAUUUUUAUUUUUUGGGUUGGCAAGCGAGGUUGAGGGGAUCUACCCCUUUUAAAUUACGUGUCAAAACUUAUAUCAACAAUCAGCGGUUGAUGUGUUUCAAACCCACAACUUCUCCAUUUAGUGAGAGGGGGUGCUACCAUCGAGCCACAGGCUCGUUCGCAAAAAAUGUUGUGGUAAGCCUGUUUUUUAUGAAAUCAGUAACUCGGUAAUGCUGGCGAGAUUCAAACCCCAGACCUCUGGUAUCAUCACCCAAAGGUUUUACCGAUUGAGCCCAACCGGCACAUGCAGUGACACCAUUCAUCCAAGAUUGCUUAAGGUAGUAAAAUAUUUGCUCCAGCAAAUAAGCAUUGUCAAAGAUUGAACAAAUAUGAACCUGCAGACAAAAAUGUGCAAAAACUGUCAUCAAUAGUAAUGGGGUUCCAGGGACUCAGGAAAUGUUUGACUCAAUUUUGACUCGGUCUUAUUUAGGGUACUUGUAUAUAUUGGAUUGAUAUGAUUUUUUGGUAGAUAUCAUCUCCUUACUAUAAAGAUCUACUACAUAAAAAAUCAGCUCAUUUGAAUAUAUUUAGAUCCAUCAAAUGUAAUAUUAAAUUCAACGGUAAAAAUGAACGUUCCACAAUACAUUAACUUGUAAUAUGAUUUUCAUAGGGUUAGAAAAUUCAGAUUAUGAUAAAUUUUUGGUGAAGAUGUCGUACAUAAUGAGAACAUUCAUCCUACAAAAAAUCAUGCCAAUCCAACAUGUACAAGUACCCUAAAUAGAAUUUAGUCACAUUUCCUGAGUCCCUGAAACCCUGCUCAAUAAAAACUAAAAAUACAAAGAGAUUGUCAGAUUUCAGUCAAAAAUAAUGUGGUAUUCAAACAAUCAAACCAGAUUACAAUUGAUCCAUAGGAUCAUAGGAUAAAUCGUCAUUCAAUUCGAACGACACACUGAAAAAUGAUCAAUGACUCAAACUUCAAUGUGUUGAUGAAAGGUGCUCAUAGAAUAUACGUGAGUGGGUCAUACAAGCUUGUUGUGGUCACAACACACAUAAAAAAUGAUUAGCUUGUGAUCAUUUGUGAUAGCUGAGAGCUUGAGAGGUCUGCAAUGCAUGGGCCUUGAGAUUGUGGCCCGUUUAAUUCUCUUUAAGUUGUGGUCUACUUGUGAAAAUACGAAUUUAACCUUUUUCAAUUAAAAUUAGACUCAAUUCUCUUCAAUUAGGCUAUCAAUUAGGAGAGAGGAAAUUUUCAUAUGGGUAGGUUCCCUAAUUAUAUAGAGUAUAAAUAGAUGAAGGAAGAGAGAAAAGUAAGGGUAAUAUUGGUAAUAUGACAAAUUUUUUGAUUCAACUCGAUCGUUUUUUUUUAACUCAGAUCGUGACUCAACCAGAAAUCGUGAUUAAAGUCUAAUAAAAACCUUUCUUAUGACUAAAGCCUAAUUACGUACAUUAACCUAUGACCAAAAUUAAAAACAUACAAGGCUUCUUUGGGCUCCCAACACUAGCAAAGUGCCACCAGACUAAUUGAGCGCACAGACCUAAUCAACCCCUGUGGACUUGUAAAAAACAAACAACAUUUUGAGAAGAAGUGUGAUCAAUAUUAAUCCUUGCACGGCUGCACCAAAAACUUCCCCACCAAAAGCUUUUUGCAUCUUAUAUAUGAAAAUAAGGAGAAGGAGGACCGCUUGUGCAAGAAUGAUUAUCGUAACAUUUUGAUUUGUUGUAUCCUCAACUCUCUGCAGCAUCUGAUCUAACAAUGAUUAUCCAUCCACAAAACCUUUUAAGAUAAAGACACACACACAUAUAAAUUCAAUCAGCUUCAACAUACCAAAAGUUGAAAAGGCAGCAUGAACACAACAUAUAUAGGCAGCAAGGUGAGUUGGAAUUGAGAGGGUAGAUCAUUAUAAAACAAUAGAACAGAAAAAAAAAAAAAAAAAAAAAGGGGAUAGAAAGAAGAGAUGCAUGUUAUGGCAAUGAAGAUGGGGACAACAACAGCAAGUCAUGCUGGUUCAGAAACAAUGUAGCUCGACUUCAAAUUAAAUGAAAGCAGAAGAAGACAGCAUGAGUCAUGAGAAAUAGCUAGACUUCACCAUUUUAGUGGAUACAUAAUCUCAAAUUUUGCUCACUUUUCAAGUUCAGAAUUCAGAGCUGUUUCACUGUUUAAGACUUUUCAGAGAGUAAACUGACUUUCUUACAUCAGUACUUCACCUUUGAUUCUGUUGUACAUAUUAUCUUUGACUUUGGGUUGCAUAUUAUCUUUGACUUUGGGUUGCUAAUAAGCAACCCAUUUUUAAAAGAGUUGCAUCUGUGCAUGCAAACCAAAGUCCAAGUCCAUUCUCCAUUCUCGAACUCUCAAGUUUGUUGUUUUUUCAUUUGGAUUUAUUUCAGAGUAUUUGAUUGUAAGCUACACUACAGCAGUUUGCAAAACUGUGUAGAACAAAAUGGCCAAACUACAUCAUCACGAUAUACAGUAGAAUCUCUUUAAAUUAAUAGUGUCGGGACUUAUGCAAUUUUAUUAAAAUUUAGAGAUUUUGGGACAUACCCCAUUUUUGAAAAAAAAAUUGAGAUACCCCAUUUCAAGACAGAAGAGAUUUACAGCCGUAGAUUAGUUUUAUGAGGGACGGCUAAGAUAACACCAUAUCUUGAAAUGGGGGUAUCUCAAAAAAAAAAUUCAAAUGGGGGUAUCUCAAAUUUCGACUUUCAAAUGGUGGGUAUGUCCAAAAAUCUCUAAAAUUUAUUAACUUAGAGAGAUUAUUAACUUACCGAGUGUUGAUUUAGCUACUUACUAUGUACAUUGGGACCAGAGAAUUUUAUUAACUUAGAGAGAUAUUAAUGAAUUGAGUAUUAAUUUAAAGAGGUUCUACUGUAUUGCAAAGUAUUAAUGUAGCAUUUGAUGAUACUUUUUACAAAUUAAAAAAAAAAAAUUGUUAAUAUUCAUGGCCCGGAGGCUUACAAGGAUAGGGCCCGAGGGCUUAUAAAGAUAAGGCCUGAAGGCUAGAAAUACUACUAUUGCUGCCACCUAAGCUUUCGCUGAAGAACACCAGACCGCCACAUCAUGUCAUCAUGGGAGCAUGGGUUUCCUAAUCACGAACCAGGCCCAAAGGCUUUGACCCACCUAAGGAUUACAUGAAAAAUUCCCUCAAACGCUCUUGGUGGGAAUUGACCUCACAACCUCUCCCUCGUGGGAGUGUUUGAGAGGAGUACCAAAUCAACUGAGCCAGCAGGAGUAACAAGCAUUUGAUGAUAUUUAGGUGUUGUUUGUUUUUUCAAGUUCUAAUAGCUAGUAGCUUAUAAGCUAUUAGAUGUCUAAUACCUUAUAAGAUAUGUUGUUUGUUUUUAUUUUGAAUAAUUUCUUAUAAGCUCUACCUGUUUGUUUUAACCACUUCUGAAUCUAUUUAUAUAUUCUUUUUUUACUAAUAUACCCUCGUUAAAAAAAUGGACUUAUGUUCUAUAAUUAUUUUAUUUUACUACACAUAGAAAAAUUCUAAUGAAAUAAUAUUACAGUAUAAUAAAUAAAUGUAUCUCUUAAUGAAUGAAUACAAUAAAAUAAUUUUUAAAAUAAUAGAAAAAGACCGCGAAAAUAGAACAAACAUAACCCAUGUAAAUUUUCAGUUUUGAUUUUGGUUUGAAUAGUAAUUUUAAUUAUUAUGAAGGGUUUUAGAUGUAAUUUUAUAUCUUAUCAGAUAUUUCUACUAGCUAUAAGCUCCAUCCUGGAGCUUAUAGUAACCGCCUACUAACUAGUGAUUUUUUACUAGAAAAUCUUAUAAGCCCAAAAAAACAAACGGGCUUUUGGCUGAUCCAGUAGCUUAUAAGCUACUAGCUACUAGAAAAGUGGAAAAACAAACAGCACCUCAAGCUCUUUAAUCAACAAAAGUAAUUGUACAAAAGUACUUGUACAAAUGUUGAGGGAUGGGUCAUCAUUGUCCAUGUCAGAUUAGUUUGUCCAUGUCAGUCUCCUAGUAAGUUAUUUGUCCAGGUUAGAAGUCCAUGUCAUCAAUCUAAGUAGUGUGUUCGUUAUAAGAGUUGCGUUCCUUGUUUAAAGGUUUUUAAGGUUAUGGUUUAGAAUUGAGGGAAGUGGAGUUAUGGAUUCACACUGUGUGAAGUAGGAUUAUCCAGUAUGAGUUCUUCAUCUGUACAUAAGUUAUAAUGAGGUUAUUUAGCCAUUUAAGGUGUAGUAAUUGAGAGGAUAUAUCAUUAUAAAUCCAUUUCUGUCAAAUGUCAGAACCAACAUGCAUGAUCGAGUUUUGGUUUGUAGAGAGAAAAAAAAAAAUAAUCAAUCAAAGAAAACAGUGGGGAAGUAGACUUGUAAUUCAUUUUGGACUAUACUUUUUUUUUUUUGAUAAAUAAAAUUUUAUUAAUAAAAGAACAAAAAAACAGAUUACAAAACCCAAUCAAUCGGCACAUUAGCACAUUAGAUGUGACACUAGAUCAACAAGCUAAAAGCUACAUGCCUUAAUAUGAGGCAAACAAACUAAAAAAAGACAACUCUUUUUAAGAAAACCUUUAGUUAACUCAGCCAGGUUUACGACCGCCAACUCUUUAAAGAGUUUUUGUUGCCCUUCUGUACUCAUGCCCGUCAAGCCCAUUUCCUUAGCUAAAGGAAGCACAAGAUAAUCCACAAAAUUUUGAUCCACCUCGGAAUCACUUCCUAUCAAGCUAGUAGCAAUUACCGAUAUUUUAGCAGAGUGUUGUUGUUGUUGCUCCAUCAAACUCUCGAAACCAGGAGGGUAAUCCCUUUUUAGCGAAGGCUGACGACUGUGAUUUUCUAUUUUCUUCAUCUUCUUCGUUUUCUUUUUCAUGAGUUUGUCUACAGUUACAUCCCCAAUUGCAAUCUUAUCUGAUAUUUCACCUUCUUCUACCGUUUCUUGAUUCAUAGAUUCCAUGACUCUAGAACAACUAGAAUCUGCCUCAGCAUCUCUCUUACGUGAUGAAGUAUCUGCAUUUCCCUCUUUAGGACAAUGUGCUGCUGUUUGGAAGGAGAAAUCAUGUGUGUUUUCAUCUUGGAUGACCUCGAAAUGGUUACUAAGUGGCAAGACUGGAUCCACACCCGUCGUGGGACUUAUUUUGGCUACAUUCACAUUUUUGUUAGCUAGCCUGACUUCUCUAUCUUUAAGAUUCUUCUCUCUAUGUGUCUUCUUCGGUAAAAUCUAGUUUUGUUGUUGAGUUUUGGUUGUAGCAGCUGAAAUGGUGGUGUUUAGAAUGCACUUUCCUUUAGCAUGUCCAAAAGAUUUGCAGAUUAUACAAAUUAAAGGCUUCCAAGCAUACUUAGCCUCCACAGUAAUAGGUACAGAUUGAGGUAAAUCAGUUUCCGCUUUCACUUCGAUGCAUACACGAGCAAAAGACAACAUUUUCUUGCUCUCUGUGUUCUUAUCUGAGAACAAAGGUUUGCCAAUGGUACUUGCUAUCAAACUCAACCCCUUAAGAUUCCAAAGGUAUUUGGGGACUUUAUGAAAUUUAACCCAAAGUGGAAUGGCUUGGAUUUGCCCUCUAUCUUCUUCAAUUUGUCUAUUCCAUGGCUGAAUUAUGAAAAGCUUUCCCAUGAGAUGGAAAGAGCCCUCAUCUAAGAUAAGUGUUUGAUCCUCAAUGUCAUCGAAAUUGAAAUAAAAUAGAUCACCAUCUAAUAAAAUUUCAAACUGACCUUUAGUAUUCCAUUUCUUCUCGAGCAUGGAUUUAACCAUUGAGUAUGGGAGUUUCUUGUCGAGGAAGAAGCCAACGACCAUGUUCUCCCAUUCUUUAGCACCUUGUUCACACACUUCUUCAUCAAUUUGUAACACUCCAUCAACAAGAUUGGGUAUACAAUAGCUAAGUUUGUCCACUCCUGCAGAUGGUGGUUUAGUUUUCAAAAUUGAGUUCCAUGAAGUAUUAGUCUCUUUAUCUUGCUUCUCCACAAAAGCAUGGUCCAGAUCUGGCAAUUUCACCUCUAAAGAUCCCACCUUUAUCGUCUCUGAGGUGAAUUCUCCUUCAAUUAGUGUAGACUGAGCUUCAACUCCAUGAAAAGAGUCAGUCAUCCCUUGAGCCAGCGGCGAAGGAGUUGGACUAUACAUGUGUUAGUCUUAUUUGUUCUUGCCUUAUCUGAAACUGGCAUUCGGUUGUUUGACAUCAUUUUGUAACUAGUUUAGAAGUGUUUGUAGUUAUCUCACCUUGACUAAAUUGUUAGGUUGAACCUUGAUGUGUGAGUACCAUUAUUGAGUUUUGGUUGGUAGAGAGCAGACGAAGAUAAUAAAUAAAAGAAGACAGUGGUGGACUGGUAGGGAAGUAGACUAUUCACAUUGAGCAUUUGCAGUCUUAUUGGCUUAUUGCUUUGCCCUAAUUACAUAUUAGCUGUGUUUGUGAAUUUGUGUUCCUACACUUAGUUACAUUUAUUCGACAUGGCAAAAUACCGAACAAUAAUCUAGUGCACUGAGCUCCUUUAGGAGGAGCUCAUUCACUGUACCAGCAGAUGCAUCAUUCACUGUACCAGAAAAAUGCCGAACAAUCUAGUUCGGACAUGGGGCAGCUCCGUUGAGUGGCGCGGCUUGAAGGGGUUGAGGACAGGAGCAGCUUGAACUGCAGUCAGUAGAAAAACUAUGAUGUGUACAGAUAUAUUGUGUAUAGAUAGAUUGUAAUUAAUUGAUAGUGUUCCUGGCAUUUAUUUAUUUAUCUUCUUCCUGAAAAUUUCAAAUGUUUGUUGAUGAUCUACAUAUUUUGUUGUAAAUGUAAUUGCAAUAAAUUCAAAACUAAUUUAUCAAAUAUUUAUAUUCUUGAUGAAAAUUUCAAAAGUUUUGAGGAAAACUGUUUCUUUAUGAUUUAUUUUGAUGUAAUGAAAUUGUAACAAAUUCAAAACUAACUUAUCAGAUCCAUCAACAUAAAAAUGUUUUGAACAAUUGUGCAUUAUAUGAUACUAUUUGUUACUAUUAGAUGUAUGGAUCUUUCAAAACAGACAUAUAUAUUAUAAGCUGAAGGGUAAACAAAAUUGAUUAAGAAAAACAAAAUUAAGUGUAUACUUACUUCAAUUGAGAGGAAAGAUCAUUAUAACGAAGACAUGCAACAAGCUACAGCCAUACAGUAUGACCAUGUCGUCUCUUCAACAAGACAACAACGAAGGCUACAACGGCAUGGAAUUUAAGGUAAGGGGGUUCAACAAAAAUUUCUGUCAGAUGUCACAGCAUUGAGGUUUGGUUGGUAGUAAGCAGAUAAACUAGAAGACAGUGCCACAGUGGUAGGGAAGUAGACUUGUGUUUGUGAAAAUCCCAAACAACCUAGUGUACUGCUUGAACUUGCAUGUGACAAACACCAAUACACCAUUAUAUAAAAUCUGCUCUUCUUGAUUCUUUAUUUUCAUGCUUUGUGAAUGAGUCUUUGUGAUGUACAUGCAAAAUUCAGACCUGUUACCUGACACCACCUUUGAUUCUGUUGUACACUCUUGUACCUAGGGGUGCUGAUUGGGGCGGGGGAACAAUGUGCGGGGUGGGGAGGGGUCAAAUAAGCCCCGUUCUUAGAUGGGGCGGGGAACGGUUGGUUGUAAGAAGGUUCACCCCAUCCCUGCCCUGUAUAGGUAGUGGGGCGGUCCGGGGACGGGGAAAAGGUCCCAAGGCAUAUCAUAAAAUUCUCAUCAUGCAAGAAAAAAAAUUCUCAUCAUUCAAAAAAAAGCCUGCAGCUCUGUAGGGAAGUUGAGUGUUUCUACAUACAUAUAAUGAUUUUGGUAUAAGUGUAUAAUGUUGGAAACAGUUUGAACAGAUUCUGUCAGAAAUCUGACAGAAAUCUGACAAGGUUUUGGCUGGACAUUUCGAUGUGUUCUAGAGCUUCAUUGAGCUAGAUCUUGGUACGUAUGGAAUCCUCGUUCCGAGUAGAUGCUCGCAGAAUAUUCAUACGUUUAAAACGGUUCCAUAUUGAAUGAGAAAUUGGUGUCCCAAGUUCCAAACAACUUGAGACAAAGCAAGGAAAAUGUGAUAGUCCCACAUUUGACCCAUGUAGAUAAGGUUUUGUCUAGAAAAACCCCUCAUGUACAAUAAGGGUGUGGCCCUUGGGGUUACAAUGUUUUCGCGCGUUGGGCGUAACCUUACAUGGGCUUGGGCUUGAAAAACACACACACGCCGUCCGACCGACCCGGCUUGGGUUUGGGUCUUGGUGAUCCAACAUAAUCUUUUUGGUAGAAAGGUCCAUUGGAAUAAAUCCCAAUAGGUGCAUACCUAUUCCGAACCGGUUUGCUACUGGUUCGGCCCAGAUAGGUGCAACCUUUCAUAAAACUGUUUCGGGCCCAAAAGUUGUGUCCCUUGAUGAAACUGUUUCAAGCCCAAAGUGUCUGUUAAGCCUAGAUGGGUGUGUCUGUUCAAUGAACUGUUUCGGCCCAUUAGGUGUGCCUGUUCAAUGAACUGUUUCGGCCCAAGUGUCUGUUCACUUAGUUUUCUCUUGCUAUAAAUACCGUGUCUGCAUCAUUCAUUCGAAAACAUCAUAUUCAUUGUCUCUGUUUGUGUCCUUGAGAGAGUUACAUCACUGAAUUGGUUCGCCGUCUUCGUUUUGUUUGAAGUGCUGCUACACGACGAAGGUAUUGAUCGUUGUAUCCUGAGAGACAGUUUGCAUUACACCCAUACAGCACCUGUUGGGGCAAAUUAUGUCUUAAGGACAGAGAUUUUCUCGACUCGAUCACAUCAUACUGUCCUUAAUUACAGUUCUGGUUUGCAUACUUUAUUUAUUCUGUUUCACUUAGAAUUAUACUUAUGCAUUACUAACAUAUUGCCCAACAUAUAACUCGGUAGGAAAAAAUACUUUGUAAAUUCUUUCCCAUUCACAUAAAAAACAUCCACAAAUGUAAACAUGGGAGUGACAUCCACUGUGACACUGAUACAUUACAUAUUUACAUAUGAUACUGAAGGCUCAUGCAGGUAACUAAAAAUUUAAAUGUAAAGUAACACAAUGUAUUUACACUAAUUCUCAAUAAUCACGUUCAUAUUAUCCCUGUCAAAUUCAAGAACAUGUUCAGUAACUAGGGAAGAUUGCGGAUUUAGAUUUUACACUAGGGAUUUAGAUGGAGAUAUGGGGGCGGGGAACGGGGUGGGGUUUCAAUCUAUAGUAUGAAACCUAUCCCUACCCUACUACCACCUGGGGCGGGGCGAGGAGAUAGAAAACGGGACAGGGACCAGGGCGGGUCAGGGUCACAGGGCAAGUUCAGCACCCCUACUUGUACCAUUCUAUCUUUGACUUUGUUACACUCUUGUACCACUCUUGUACCAACCUAUCUCAAAAGCUAACAUGCAUUGUUGUUUUAAAUUUGAACCUAAUUCAAACUUUAUUGAAAUUGUUGAGCUAAUGCAACUUGCAAAAUUAUGUAGAACAAAAUGGCCAAAACUACGUACGAUUUGAUGAUACUGUCUGUGGCGCAUGUUACCAUGAUAAGGUAUACAUUCAGAGCCAAUGAAAGUAUUUAGAAUCCUUUAUUAGAAAAUAGUAAUACAACAACUAAUCGAUCGACGUUAGGAGUUCCAUUAUACUUAGUUGGAAAAAAAAAGUGUCAGUCCGUCCACUUCGAUAAAAAAGAAACGAAAAAAAAAAAAAUUUCUCUUAUGGGAAUUUUAGACUUAACCCUCCCCCACCCCUUUUAUGGUCACGUUUUAAAUAAACCCCCUCAUUUAUCCAAGUUUGGACUUUGCCCCCUCUUCUCUGCUUCUACAUUGAAAGACACUAAAUUAAAUAAUAAAUUUUUCGAUCAUCAAUUUUAGCUAAGAAAUUCGGUUUUGGAGCUUUUUAUAAAGAUAACUUAAUUGACACAAGUAUGAAACCUAAUAGAACUUGAAUUACUUAUUCCAUAAGAUAUGUAUUAUCUUUUAGCAACUUCCUAAAUCUAAUAGGACUUAAAAUAAGCCUUUUAGACACUCUAAAUAAUAAAAACGAAAAUAACAAUUUAGAAAUAUUAUAUAGGCUUCUAAAUAAAUCAUAAACCCAAAUAGAAAACCAAUUGGUGUAUGUGUUAUGUCCUACAUCAGUAUUUGACACUUAUAACGCAUAAGUAUACUUGUGCUAUAAUGUAGGUAGGGAUCUUCGGUUAGGUAGUUAGAAUCUAGUAUUCAUGGAGUAGGCAUUUUUGAUAAAGUUUAUUUGGACUAUUAAUUUCUUUUGACUUUCUUAACGGUUCAUCAUAGAAUCAUGAUAACUUUUGUUGUUAUAAAUAUAAUUUUUUUGCUACAGCUUGUUCCAUGUUGCCAAAUGUAGAUUGUAGUUGAUGUUUCUAAUAAACAUCAUUUAAUACUGUGAAGCAUGAUCUAGAUCUACUCGAAAGUGAGCAAGCCUAUAUACUUGAGUCCGGAUAUAGGGGACAAUUCUCUGAGGCUAUGUUAAUUUUUAUCCCACCUAUCACCAAUUAAAUGCCCACUUAACAGUAGUUAUGUCUUUGUUAACAUGUUUUUCUUUUUUCUCUCUUUUUUUAUUUUUUAUUUUUUUCUAUUUUCUUUCAAAAAUUCUAAUAAUUCUUUUGGAAACAAGACCCGAAAAGGUAAAACUUCCCACCUCUCUCUCUGCUUGUCCAAGUUUUUUUUUCUUUAUCCUUUCGCCUAUAUAAAUCGAAAACUUAUGUUCUAAAAUGACAUUAAAUAAAAUUUCUCUAAUUAAUAUGUUUGGCUUUGCAUUACAAGUUUUAUUUUGUUAGCAAGUCGAUCAUAUCGUUUCAACAAUUAUGUAUAACAUCAAAAAUUGAUCAAACAGUCAUGCAUGUAAUAAUGCAUGUAGUAGUGUAUAGAUGAUAUGCGGAUAGAAAAUUGAUUAUCAUACCAACUCGUACUUCAUUUAAGCUUCCAAUAAUUCAAUCCCAAUUAAAAAGAAGCAUUGUCGCGGCCUUUUUGGAGAUACAAUGGUGGAGCAGAAUGAUGGGAUUCAAUGGUCAAUUUGUUCACUGAUAUUAGUAGUGCAAAAAAAAAAAAAAAAGAAUUGCUCUUUUGCAACAUUAUUAUUUGCAACGCUCCGAGAGUGUUGUUAGUGGUUCGUUGUUGCAACGCCUAAUCAAAAUCGUCAUAUUCAAAAAUAUCUUUGAGCAACUAAUUUAGCAACGUUUACAAGCAUUGCAAAUAUAUUUAUCAAUAUAUUUUUUCUUUAAAAAAUAAUUUUAAAACUUAAAAAUAACAUUUGCAACACUUUGUACAUUGCAAAUAAGAAAAUUAUAUUUGCAACACUUAAUAAUGUUGCAAAAAUAUUUUUUUUAGAAUUUAUUUUUUAGUUUUUAUUAUUAUUGAUUAGCAACGCGGCUUAUCGUUGCUAGUACUUUGUCAUUAGCAACGUUGCUACCAUUGCAAUUGAUGGCUAGUCUUUCUGCAACUCUUCUGCCGUUGCAACUAGAAUUUGGAUAAAAACUUAUUAUUAAAUAAUAUUGAAAUACAGUAACCACGUUUUAAGCUUUGCAAUUAGCGUGCAGUAGUAUUGCAACAUUAAUGGCGUCACAAUUGAGUUAAAAGUAUUACCAAUUGCGACGUUACAAUUACCAAUACAUCAAUAUCAACGUAAUUUAUUGUUGCAAUAGCCCAAAUAAUAGCAACACAAUUUACUGUUAUUAAAGCGUUGCACUUGUUUUAGUAGUACCGACACUUAAAACGUUACAACAGUGAAUUAUUAUUAGAAGAAAAAUAAAAUAGACUCCCUUCCACGUAUCUCUCUACCAGUUGCUAUACGAGGCUUCACACAAGAUAUUGCAGACCUCCAAGGUGAUUAGUCCUAAAUACAGUAUAAUUGAGAUUCUUACAUUAAUAAUUGUCAAGAAGUGAAACAUUGGGUGGCAGGGGUGCAAGAGGGUUUUGAAUGACCCAGGGAUCUCUUGCAUCAUCAUCCUCGAUCCACAAUAGACCCAGUUGUGUCUCUUCCUGAAAAUGGCGAUGAACCCUCCAUUCCUAACCGGUGUAGUUAUCAACAAUCUCCAAACUGGCACGCAGAUCCUACACAUUGUCAAAAGCUAAAAAGCUUUGUUGAAUGAAGUUCUCAAGUGCCGUGUCAUUAGGACAUCCAGCAGGGGGAGCAACUGUCCCAUUUGGGUACAUCUGACUCAUAGCAAAAAGACCGAGUCGAAUAGUAUCCAUGUUCCCAACCAACUGAGCUGAUCGAAAACCGAAGAGAGAAUGCGAUAAACUAGACAAUCAAUUCACAGAAUGCAAAGAACACUGUUGAUUGAAGACAACAGUGUCAACAGAUUUGAUUUGACAAGAUGCACAUACCAAAUAGAUAUGCAUUAAAAGAGUUAAAUAGAUGGCGCUAUGGAACCCUGUAGCAGUUAUUUCGUGCGAAAUGGUUUGGUACAUUACGGUGGGGACAAAUAUGGACCAAGCAUUUUUCCAUGUGUAGAAACUUAGCAACCUGUUACCUGUUAGCUUAAAGUCAACAAAAUUUUAUAAAAAAUAUUAUUUUAACAGGUGUGGACUCCAGAAAACGCAACUACCACUUUGCUGUCCGAAUUCCGACGUGUAGAAAGAAUUAAUUAUCAGAUCUUUAUUUCAUUGUCUUCCCAAAAACUAAUGUUGUCUGAAACUUAACUACAGUUCAAGCUUUGAGCGGCGCGUCUACCCUUCUUGCUCUUGCCAGUAUAUCAACGGGGAUUUCCAUCUUUGUCUACUAAUUCAAGAUUGAAGUUAAGGUUAGUGAGAUCUGUUUUGCAUUUCGUUUUUGAAGGCUUUAUUUUACUACUUCAAGUUCAAUCAGGAUUUCAAACAAACCGAGAUCAAGAACAAAAUCUUGUUAGAUUUAAUUUCAUCUAAACAAUGUGUAAUAUAGAAAUAAAAACAAAACUAACUAGGCAUCUUUCAGGCUUUUAGGGAUCGAUCACAUUAUUUCAAGUUUGAAUGGUUUUAAUUGUUUUUAUGGCUUGAUGAUGUGGUACUUCAAAUUCAAAUUCAAUUUUUUUUUUUUUUUUUGGCUAAUGAUCUGUAAACAUCUUGACUGACUCAACAAUUGCCUUAACUAGCCAUUUUAGGGGUUAGAUAAAAUAGAUAGAUACGUAGAUAAUAAUAACAUAUCCCGUGUGAAAAAAAGUCUAUUGGUGUCUGGGUUGGUGUGAUAAGAUGAUCUUGCUAGUGAAUGAAUUCCUUGAGGGAAAUACACAAACCAUUGUACGUUUUGUUGUGUCUGGGUUUUGAAUACAAGCCUAAUCCUUUAAAUGCACAAAUUUUCCAGCUUUUCAGACCUAUUAAGCCCCAAUAUUAGCUUUUAUUAGAUUAGAUAUAAUUGAAGAAGCCAAACAAUGUGUGUGUAAUAUAAAAAUAACUAGACAUCUUUCAGGGAUCGAUCACAUUGCUAUGUCGGCCUUCGUCGAUGAAUUUGUUGAAGAUUUUAGUGAUGAUAGUGAGGCUGAGGGUGACAAUCCUAGGAGAAGGAAUGCAGAUUUUCUAUAUAAAGUGGGUUUAAGGCUGCAAGAUGAAAUUCAUGACGAUAUGGGUGAGAUUUCUGAUGAAGAUAUGUUAAGGGCACGAUUCAAUACAGAUGAGGAUGCGUACUUUUUUUAUAACGAGUAUGCCAAGUUUAAAGGGUUUAGUGUGCGCAAGGACCACAAGACGGUAAUAGAUGGUAGAACCCGCAGAAGAAGAUUUAUCUGUUCAUGCGCAGGUGUUAGAGCAGGUAAAUGGACGAAUCUGCACAAGCGAAGAAAAAAAGCACGUCGGUUAACCCGAUGCAAUUGUCCUGCAGCAAUGAACAUAGUUUAUGAUGAUGAAUUAAACAUGUGGACAGUGCGUGGUUUUAUAUCCCAGCACAACCAUGUUUUGGCACCACCUGGUGGUUCACAUUUCUUAAGAUCCCAUAGAAAAGUGAGUCUAAGCAAUGCAGUUUUAGCCCAAAACCUUUAUGCAUUGGGAGUGAGUAAAAAAUUAGUUAUGGAUAUUAUCAUCUCAGUCUGGCAGUCAUGCAGCAGCCGGUUGUACUGCCAGAGACUUGUACAAUCAAAUGAACAGAGCAAGGGUUGAACGCAUUAUCGAUGGGGAUGCCAAUCUAGUGAAUUCUUUUUUGGAGGAUAUGAAUGUGCGUGAUCCUGGGUUUUUCAAAAAGAUCCAAGUUAAUGAAAAAAAGCAGUUAACUAAAUUGUUUUGGUCUGAUUCCCAGUCGCAAGAGGAUUACAAGCUCUUCGGUGAUGUGCUUAUGUUUGACUCAACCUACCGUACCAAUCGGUAUGACAUGCCCCUUGUUGUAUUUGCUGGAGUGAAUAACCACCGACAUACUGUCAUCUAUGCCCUUGCACUGAUGAAUAAUGAGACGAUAGAUUCUUAUGAAUGGGCCUUGAAAACCUUUCUUGCAGCAAUGGACGGUAUCGCUCCUAAAUCGGUGAUCACGGAUGGUGAUGCGGCCAUUCGCAAUGCUAUUGAAAAUGUGUUUCCUAAGAGUAAACAUCGGUUGUGUGUGUGGCACGUUGUCCAGAAUGCAACUAAUGUUUGGACUGAUGGAUUUGUCAAAGGCUUUGUUGAGGUAAUGUUUUGUAAGGGUCCUCCAGAUGCUUUUGAGAAAAAGUGGGCAGAAUUGUUAAUUGAAUACAAGACUGUCGCUGAGCAGAAGUGGGUGCACAAUAUAUAUGAGAAAAAGGAAAUGUGGGCAGAGGGCUAUUUAAGAGAGUAUUUUUUUGUCGGGUGUAGAAGCAACCAGCGGUGCGAAAGUAUUAACUCUGUUGUGCGGCUAUGCGUAAAGUCUGGCCUAACCUUGAUUGAGCUUGUAGAUAAAUUGCUGCAGAAAAUUAGGCAUAUUCACUACCGUAACUUUGAAGCAGAGGUUAAUACUACCAUGACCAGGUCAGCACAGAUUCCCAACUUGACUCUCAUUGGGGAACAAGCUGAAGCAUUGUAUACUCGAGCAGGUUAUGAAUAUCUUUUUAAGCAAUUGUUGCGUGAGCGGUCGUAUGUUGUAAAUGAGUCAUAUGAGGAUGGAGAGGACAUAAUCAAAUACUUGGUGAACCGUCAUAUGCAUCCUAAUGCCCCGGCGACUGUCGAAUACAACAGAGAAAAUGAUGCAUACAAUUGCACGUGCAAGCUAUUUGAGAGAGUUGGCUUUCUAUGUAGACACAUACUUGCAGUUUUAAAGCAUACACAUGUCAAAGCAUUGCCCAAAAGCUGCAUUCUGCACAGGUGGACCCGAGAAGCUAAAUCAUCAAGUAUAGAUUUUGGAACAAACCCAACAACUUCAAGCAGGCUUGGUUUUGUACUUCGUUUAAAGGAGCUUGAGGAAUAUAGUCGUGACCUGUUUAUGUGGGGAUGUGAAUCAGUACAGUAUUGUACUAUGGUUAAAGCCCACAUUGCAGCUUUUGACAAAUGUGAGCCGGAAGAGGUAGCACAAGGGUUUGAUGAAACACCAGUCCCGGAAAAUCCUUUGGGUUUUGAGGAGGAGGCGGUUGCGUCUACUCCUCAACAGUCCUUCCCCCCUAACAAUAUUGUUGAUCCACAACGCGAUCUAGGAAGAAGAGGUGGCCCAAGAAAGGCAAAGCGCAAGAUGUUCCACCAACGUACAUCCACAAGGUGUGGAAUUUGUCAUAUUGUUGGCCAUUCAAGGAGGACAUGCCCUAGUAAUUAUCUCUCCCUAGAUUUUCUUAAUUUGGGUCUUGUUUGUUUGUAGUUUAGAGUACAGAGUAGUGUAGUCAUAUGAUUACAUUAUGUAUCUGAUAGGCUAAACUGUCGAGUUAUGCAGCAAAGUAGGGUCGAAUUCCCAACUUAUGCAACCAACUAAAUUAGGUUUAAAAUCAUCAGCAAACUUUUAUGUUUUCCCAAUUUAUGCAAUGCCGUCAACUGAAAUCUAACAGCCGUUAUCUUUUUGCUGACUGGAAGAUUUUUAAUAUUAAAAAAUAUUUUUUCUUAAAAAAAAAAAUUAAUAAUUAAAAUAAAAUAAAAUUGGUUUUAUUUCAAACGAAGUUAAGUCUUUGGAUUCUAAACCCCAAUUUUUCGUUUUUCUACUUCUCAAUCUCUUUGUUUCAUUAAAAACAACCAUAAUUUUAAAUUAUUUUUUUAAUCAUGUAAUCAUUGUUUAAUUUUGGGUUUUGCUUUUAAAAAUCUAUUUUUUGCUUACUUUACACAGUCAGCAAUAAUUAUUACACAGUCAAUAAUAAUAAAAUUUAAAAAAUAUACAGUCAGCAAUAAAUUAUUACACAGUCAACUAUAAAAAUUAAAAAAAAAAAAUACAGUCAGCAAAAUCUAACAUCUGUUAAGGGAUUGGUAACGGCAUUGCAUAAAUCGCAAAAACUUAAAAGUUUGCUGAUGAUUUUAAACCUAAUUUAGUUGGUUGUAUAAGUUGGGAAUUUGACCCUACUUUGUUGCAUAACUCGAUAGUUUAGCCUAUCUGAUAUGUACAACUACUUACACGUCAUUUGUUGUGUUUUAUCAAUUUUGUGAUGUGUAGGUCUACUUAGUGAUGAUGAGGUCACUGAUCAUGAAUAUGGUUCUGAAGGAGGUAUUAUUUAUUUGUUUGACCGUGGCUAUCAGCAUUUUUGCUUUGUAUCCCUGAUUUUUUAGCCCUGUUCAUAACAUGAAUGAGACAGGUGAAACAACGGGAGUGUUUGCUGAUGUGCCCCCAGAAGUAACAUCGUCUAGAAAAGCUCCAACAUGUAGCUUUUGCAAUGAAGUGGGUCAUAGGUGCAAUGCUUGUCCGCGUAGACAUAAACACCAAAGUAAGAUAUUUUAUUAGUGUACUAAAUAACUAACUUGUAUGUCUAUAGGGUUUGGGUCCUUUAUUUAGUGAAUGACUAAUUUGCGAUGCUAUAUUGAGGAUUUUAAUAUCUUAUUUUCUUUUCAUUUGUCUAUAGGUACCGAUUCACCCAUUGCGGGUGUUGUCGUUACGGAUAUGGGUGACGCGUAUUUGCACACUCAACCAAAUGGGGAUGUUUUUUGGAGUCUUAAACACUGACGAUGAAACAAUGGUUUUAAGUUUUCAAUUAGUAAUUAAGAAAUAUUUGAGACUUAUGUAUUCUUAAAUUUAAUUUCAUACUUCUUCUUGUCAUUGCGCACUAUGCAUAGUCUUCACCGUCAAAAUAUUGAUUGUGGUUAGAGUAAAUUUUUUACUUUUUUUAUUUUUAUUUUUUCUUAAUUUCCAAAUGGGGGUUUGGCAUGGACCCCUACCUGUGCAUUAAUAAAACGGGGGAGGAGGGGACAUAAAGCCUAACCCUUAAAAACAGAGAAAGGGCCUGAGGCCAGUGUAAGGCCCAAAGGCAAACAACCAGGGCCUUUCCAACAACCUAUCUAUAGCCUAGCGCCCUAGCCUAGUCUAGGCCUGACGGAUCAGAGGAGUGGACUUGAAAAAAGGUGCCAACCCCCACUUACUUAGCAUCAGAGGAGUGGACUUGAAAAAAGGUGCCAACCCCCACUUAAUUAGAUUAAAUCCAUCUAAAUUUUUGGUUUUACAUUUUUUGUGUACUCAUUAAGAGAUGUGAAAUAAUAUAUAUAAUAAAUCACAAUAAGUUCAUGCCUACACACAACCCGGUCCAACACUUUUCCACCAAAAUAAAACAUAAACAUGUCUAACCUGCACAAAUAAUAUGUCCAUGCACAAACAAACAAAACAACAAUAUAUCCAUCAUGCAACUUUAAAAUUCAUCGAAGCAAGACUUAUCAACACAUCGAGUCUGUCGAUCCAUCCGAACCAUCACCGGAAAUGUAUUCAUCACUUACAAAAUCAGUGUCGUCACUGUUUUCAACUGACAAACUUGGAUCGUCACUGUCAAAAUCCGAAUUAAGCUCGACCGGGUUCUCUUGAUCCUCACUAGAUAACACCUCAUCUUCUUCAUUGGUCCAUUCCGAUGACACAUAUUCCACAUAACUAGAAGCAUGAACUUGACGACCUCGGCCACCAUCAGUGGCUCGUCAUGCUGAAGAUGAAGGUUGGCGACAGUGUGGACUACCUCGAGAAGUUGGAGGUGCAGUAGCAGGUUGUCGAAGAUGACGACGAGUAGAUGGACCAACUGCCUAUUGAGCAACCUGCCUCGGACGACCAUGGCGACGAGAAGCAUAAGGUAGUGCCUGGUGGUGUUCUUGGGCACGAUGAUUGGAUGGCGGUGCCCGCGGUGCAGCAGCUUGCACAAAGCUUGGACGGCCUCGACCAACACCAGGGGAUCGUGGUGCUGAAGUUGAUGUUUGAUGACUGCGUGGAGUACCAUGACGACGAGUAGAAGGACCAACUUCCUCUAGAACAACGCUCCUCAGAUCAGCACGAGUGCGUAUGCGUAUCAUGAAGGUAGGAGGUAGGGGAAGAGGAGGGGAAGGGGAAGGGAAACCUUGCCUAUGCCCAUGCCUGGGUUUGCGUGCUACCUGCAGUUUAAAGGUGUGGUGCCAUAUUUAAUAAUAAUUAAAUAGAUCUCAAAUUAAUCUACCAAAAAACAAAUUACCUGGAGUUUGAAAAUGGUGACGCCGGGUGGCAGUUUUGCCAGUUUUUGUUCCCUUCUCAUAUGUUGAAAAAGCACGCGAUCCCCAACCCUGAGAUCCAAGUCCCUGACAACCUUACUCCAGCAUGCACCAUUGAUGUACCAGUUGUGGUUGUUAUCAUAGUGGACAGAACCUCUAAAAUAUGGGUGACCCACAGUAGAGAUAAUGAGAUUCUGUCCAUCCCUGAGAUGUUUUUGCAAUUUUUUGGGGAAGGCCUGCAAUUAUUUAAUUAAAAGGAUAAUAACCACAAUUUAAAUGAUGUAUUUUUAAUAUUAAAAAUGAAAAUCAAUUACGAUACAAACAACAAUAAUAUUUUUUAUUACCAUCCUCGUGUUCCUACAGUGGUAUCCAACAUUCCAACGUUUCAGUAUUACGGACCACCACCUUUCAGGAUCAUGGGGAAAGAACACUGGAUGCAGCGUUUCUGGUGGUCGAGGCAUCUGCGUAUUUUAUUUGAUAUAAAAAAGACAAAAAAAAUGAUUGUAGAUCCAACCUUACAAUUAUAUGUACUCGGGUUUUGUUAAAACACAAUGCGCAAAAAUCAGAUAAUAACCCUCAUGGGUGUACACAACAACAUUAUCCCAUAUUGUUUGUGUUAAGUACAAAGCAAAAUACAUUACCCACGAAUGAAAUUCAUAGGUUUCAUAAAUACAACCAACAUCAAAGUACAAACAAAAGUUUAAGUAAAACAACAAUCAUCAAAACUAGCAGUACAAUGAUAAAUGACUUCACCCACUUCAACCAACUGCCGCCGUCCACAACACAAGGAACCAGAAGACUACUUUCUUGAGCAGUGGACACAAGCAAUUCUUUUGGUUCAAUGUGAUCACUAGGCCUUCCGGAGUCAUCCGUUCCCCUAAAUCGACUGUCUCGGCAUUCGUUGCCACUGAAGGCACGCAUAGCUUCUUCUAGAGAAUGAACACCCCAGAAUAGAGGAUUCUUAAACCCUUUGGUUGUUUCUUCACACGACUCCCAGGUACGAUAGAUACCUGGACGCUUCCCUCGUUUAACAACAUAGAAUGGAUAUUUACCCAUUGUUCUGUAUAUACAUAGUAGUUUGUGCUUUAUUAGACUAAAACAACUAAAUCCAAGUAUCAUUUAAUUAUAAUUCUACUGUACAAUUUUUUAUUAAUCCAAAGUAAAAACAGAUCGCUCCUAGUUCUAUUAUACAUAUGAAUAUAUGAUCUCUGAUUUUGUAUACGCGUAAGCAAUAAAUGAAUUCGAUGUCAGGAACAUAUCCACCUGCCUAGCUAGCUAGUGUGUAGAUGAAAAUGGUAGUUCAUAAUAAAUUGGCAGACAAUAGAAUUGUAGUAUGCACAUUUGGAUCAUAUCCAUACAAUCAAAUAACCCUACUAUUGAAAAUAUAAUAGUAAUAUAAGUUAACAUCAAUGUUUUAAAAAGAUAUUUUGAGAACUGAGGCAGUUCAGUUAAUUGAAGCGAGGUCAUACGCCUUAAAGCGGAAUGAGGCGUAAGCCUCAGUUUUUAUUAAAUAAAAUAAUAAAUCCAGAAAGAAUGAAAUCAUAACAAUUCAGAACAUGUUAAGACAUAUAGUACCAUUUGGUAACAAUCAGUACACAAAGCUUUUAAUUAAAAAGUUUAUACACUUCACCUAAUAAAAAGUCUGUUAAAAGUGUAAUGAUAGGUAAUUGACCUUUAGUAAAACGAACUAAGAAUAGGAUUAUAGGAAGUACAAAUCUCAUUGACAAAUCGAGGAUCUUAUUCUUGGGUUUCCGAAUUGUGAAGUUACAAAAUCUAUUAAUUAUAAUGCCAAAUCUGGAAGUAGAAUAAUUAAUUUGUAAGUUUUUUCAUUCUUAACAAAAUCUCCAUCACAAAAUCAAAUCAUUUUUAGAAUAUGAUCAGGUUGACAGGGAUAUGCAUUAGAGGCAUAUGCCUCAGUGCCUUAUAUUACCACCUCACUUCGAGGCGCGCCUCAAGGCUCCCCUCAAAAACGCCUUUUUAAACCAUGGUGAACAUAUAAUUAUGUAUACGAACGAAUCAAGGAUAGAUCACUUAGCUCUAGAAAAAAACAUAUAAUUAAAUUACUUGCGUGUUAUAUAAGUAAAAUAGACAAUAAUAAGUUGAAUACCUUUAGAGUUCAGAUACAAACAGGAGGAGAAGUUGUUUGUCCACGCGGUAUCAACCGCAGAGAACUAUCUCAAGCAUACGAACGAACGUUUUGCAAGUUUGAGAAACAAAAAAAAUACAUGAUUGAUCAAAUUUCGCACAAGGAAUAAAAACAGAGAAUAUACAAUUCUUUAGCUACUAACCCUAAUCAUGAUCAUGUUCACAUAUAUAACUUAAUAAUACAUAUUUCAUAUAUAUAAAAUUUUGAUAAGAUUAAUAAGACAGAUCAUGUUCAUAAAUAAAAACACGCACUUCGUUCAAGUUCAAAACAAAGUUGAAAAUGUAUUGAAUCUACAAAAAAAAUUCCUACUUCAGCACAAAAUAAAAAUAAAACCUUUAUGAGUUUGGUCAUAAGAUUUUUGGUUAAAAACCAAAAAUAACUUGAUUAAAUAGAUAGACCAGAUUUUAAUGCUUGAAAGGGGGGGGGUUUGAGUUCAACCCAAGGAUUAAAACAAAUGCAACUAUUAAAACACCUUUAAAUUAAAUCCCAAAACUUGAUUUUUAUAAACCCUAACCUUAGCCCCCAUAUUCGACCAUAUUUCCCCUCUCUAAAACCCUAGCCCUAAACCUCAAAACUUGAUUUUUAUAAAACCCUAAUCUGCACAAGCAAAUUCUACCACAUGUUCACAAUAAAACAACAAGUAGAAACCCUAACCCACAAACAUGCAAGAUAUAUGAUAAGUUUGCUAUUUUCCAUCAAACAAUCGCAACUGUGAUGGGAAAAUUGAACAGAAAACUAAACAUAAAAACAAGCAAGAAGGUACUUAUAGUUUGAAAGUGUGAAAAGUGCUUCAAAACCGGCUAGAAAUCAAGCAAUAAUCGUCGUCAUUACCGCCGUUGUCGCUUUCUCACUGUUUCGACCAAAUGUUUAAUUAGGUUACUGAAAAGGGAAGUUCUAAACUUAUAUAUUCUCUAGGGUUUUGUCUGUUUAUUAAAAGGCCUUUUGUUUUUUAACAAGACACAAGUGGUCCAGACUCCAGACAGGCUUAUUAACAUUAUAUAAAUAUAUACACAAGUGGUCCAGGCAGCCUCAUAAAGUACAUACACAUGUGGUCAAGGUAGCCUUGUGAAAGUACAUAGACAAGUGGUCUUGGCAAGUCCAAUUCAAUUAAUUUUAGUAGUAGAUGGUAGAUGGUGGUUUCUAAAAUUCCAAGUGGUCUUGGCAGGUCCAAUUAAUUUUAGUAGUAGGUGGGGGUUUCUAAAAUUCAAUUCAGGUUCUAUAAAGAUGAACAAAAGAACCCGACAAUCUUCUAUGGCUGAAAGAAAGAGUGAGGUCACAAACUUGAAUGAAACUGUGUUUACUAUCUGUGAGGAACAUUUGGAGAGUAUGGAUGCUUCAAAGACUGAGUCUGAUUUGGAAAUACAAGCGGCACAAUGGAAGAAAACUUGCGAAAAAUGUCAAGGUGCUGCUUUUGCUUGGAAUUUGUUUCAAGAUGUAGAAGGUAUGGUACUAUUACUAUGGAUAUUCUUUGUUAUUAAAAAAAAAAAAAUCAGUUAUAAGAUAUUGUAUAAAAUAAAUGAUGAUUUUGUGUUUGACCUAAAUAGAAGUUAGCCCUAAAGUGAAGAGGGCUAUUUUUUCUCCUAAGAUUAGUGAUGAUAUGAAAAACAAUGGUCAUGAUUUUCCUAAAAAGGAGACGGCUAAAGAAGAACAUGAAGGUGAGGUAGUUAGUUUAGAUAUAAUUAAUUAUUAUUUUCUUUUUAUUUGUAUGUACUUUUUAGGACAAAAUGUGAUGAGGUAGUUAGUUUAUAGUUUGUAUUUCACCAAUUAGCUAUUUUUUUUUUAUUGAAUUUGAUAUGAACAUUUUUUUUUAGUUGCAGACGUUGAUUGUGAUGCUCCUGAAUUAACUGAGAAGGCAAGGCAAUCCAUACUCAAGUAGAUGUGCGAUUUAUGAAUGACUAACGAAUCGCUUUACCUCGUCCACACUCUCAACUGGGAGACUCUUGAUUUAUAUGCAACCCUAAAAUUGUUUUCUACGUUUUUGCUUUUAAUGAAAUUUUAAGAUAUAAGGGUACUAUGUAAUGACAUUUUAACACAUAAUUUGUGCACCUUUAUUGCAUUAUCACAUCAUUAUGAAUAUUUAUUAAGUCAAUAAUACAACUGCAAGAUAGUUCAAAAUCAAAUCUAUUAUGACAUAUUAACUAAGAAUAUUACAUCAAUCACUAUUCACUACAAACUAGAUGUACAACUUGGAUAUUAAUAUGAAUUGGUCCAUUAUGGUGCGUACUAACAUAAUUUAGGGUCCUAACACAGUUCUACAAAAAUUUAAUCUAUCAGAUAAUUAUCCCACAGUUUCUGGCGGAUAACACUAUGUCAGAAAUUCGGACGGCAUCUCACAUGCUGUCUUUUUUUUUUUUUUUCUCCCACGAGGUAGAUUUCAAAGUGGAUUCUCCAUUCCGACACUUGUGUCCAAAAUCCAAAUAAUCGUUGUCAUGUCAAAGUUUGUGUGUACCCUCCACGGCUCCACCCAUUAAACUUUUUAUUUGAACCUGAAAAAUAUAAAUAUUCAAAUUUUGAAUAAAAAGGUGCUUUAUAUGUUUGAAAAGUUUUAAAAUAGAAUGAAAAGGUGAAUCUGAUCCAGAAAGACAUGUGUUAUAUGUUUGAAAAGGUAUUUUGGGGGGUACUGACACUUGUUCAAAGGUUAGUGUGUUGAAAAGGUGCAAUUGUUUGGAGUUUGGACUGGUGCCUGAUCAAGUGCAAGUGCCUGAUAUAGUGUAUCUAUAAUAGAUCGUGUCCUACAACUUUUAUUUUCACAUCCAUGUCAACAGAAACCAAGUACUCAGAAAACAUUGUUGUUUAUAAUUUAUUUUUAUGUGGUGCACCCCAGUAGCACUUUGUCUGCAAACACUUGUCCAGACGACCCUACCUUCUCCCAUGUGUUCCUCCAACCCACUUUUAGGAUUAUAAACAAAAACGAUUAUAUUUCAAACAUUACUAUUUAUUUAUAUGCUCCAAACAUCUAAACCAAACCAAAACGAUUCCAGGCUAGAAAAAUAAAUGUAGACGUACACCAUCACAUUACUACUUAGUAGGGUAAAUAUUUAAACAUAAUGCAUCAAAGGUACAUAUUACAGGGAGUCCAUAAACAAAAGAUAGCCUAGCUCAGAAUCUGGCUGCAUGAUCCAAUAAUCAUACUGCAUCUCAUAUAAAGCUCUAGCUAGAAAUAACCUAUCAUCCAAUAUGUACAGUACAAGAUGUACCAUCCACUAAAGAGCUAAAAUACCAAACUUAAUAACCAUACCCAUCACUUCACUAAUCGGAGUCGCUCGACACAAUUACCUCAGGUUCUUGCACAUGCACUGGAUUGAUCAAAUUAAAUCCGGGGGGGGGGGGGGAAGGGGGGGCAUCCUCCUCUCAUCGUUGUUGUUACACAUAUCAAUAACUCCAUCAUCUGGGAGAAAUUCUUCUUCAUCACCACCAGCUCUACUAAUCCGGAUCACCCAGGUCGUGAAGUCAAUACCCCAACCCCUCAGCUCAAACCCUACAUAGUCGCCAAUUUGCAAGUUAUUAUAUAUCUUCCACAAUUGUCCUCCAUAGUCCAUGGUGAAUAGCAUAGUGGCGAUGGUGGUCAUAUACCCUCCGUCCAAUCCAGCGUCCACCGUGCUCACGAAGCAUUUCUAAGAUCUUUGCACGUCUAAGUCUCCACUUAAACUGAGCUGGAAAUGACUGCAUUAUCGGGAAUUGACAAGUACCCAACAUUAAUCGUAAAAACUUGUAAUUUUUUCUUAAAUAUAGAAAUUAAGAUUACUAACUGAUGAAAACUUACAAAUCGUUGGGGCCGCUGGACAUGAUAAUCCUUAAGAACCCUGGUAAACCACUGAGCAUUGGGCACACGUUGUUGUAGCGGAGGGGCAUCCAUCUGAAUAACAAGUCCAACCAUAACAAAAAAUAAACACAAAUUUAAUUUUCAUUUUCAUUGGUGGUAAAUCUUGUCGUAGAACGACAAGUAGGUUCAAUUACAAGAAAAUAGUAGAACACACCAAUUAUAUGGAAGCACACCACGUCAUAAACUGAUAAGGCUAUUCAAUUCUUGAAUAUUGUCUACAUAACAUUCAUUCACUUUUGUCUUAUAACUUUCAAUUACUGAUGAUGUCUAUCUCAUACAUACUUUUAGGAAUUCCUACAAGUUCAAAGUCACAUUUUGAAUUGUCUUCUUGAUAAUCUGUUCCCCGCCAUUAACAACAACAUUAACCAUAAUAACCAUUUUCUUCUCAAUAACACUACCAAAUAAAAUCAAUUUGUAGGAGAUAAACUAAAUCUACUAACAUGCAAACCAAUUUUAACCCUAACCCUAAACGUCUAGCACCAAUUUUCUCAAAUAUGGCUGCAAUGAAAAACAAAAUUGAAAAUGUUGACACCAAAUCCUGAUAUGAUUAGACAAGGCUAAACUGUCGAGUUAUGCAACAAAGUAGGGUCGAAUUCCCAACUUAUGCAACAAACUAAAUUAGGUUUAAAAUCAUCAGCAAACUUUUAUGUUUUCCCAAUUUAUGCAAUGCCGUCAACUGAAAUCUAACAGCCGUUAUCUUUUUGCUGACUGGAAGAUUUUUAAUAUUAAAAAAUAUUUUUUCUUAAAAGAGAGGUAAGGGUACCUUAGUGUCGGAGGGAAGGAGAAGUGGAGAACAGAGCACUAGUAGUAGAAAGAUAGGGUUAUACUGUUACUAUCUUCUUGUCUUGUUUUAAGGUAAGAAGAUGGAUUGGUGGUGUAAUAAUUGAUCAAACUUUUGAUGAGAGGGCUAAAUUUGGUAUUUUGUUUACCUAUUUUGGUGGGGCGAGAAGAUAAGGCAAGUAGCAGUUGAAAAACUACAAAUAGUGCUAGUAUAACAAAUGUGAAUUCAAACAAGCAAAUAAACAAUACGCAGAAAGUAAAUAACACACAGAGAUUUUUAACGUGGUAAAACCCAAACAGGGAAACGUCCACGGUUGUCCUCGCGACAACAAAAUAAUCCACUAGAUGAAAAGAGAUGUACAAACCUAUCAACUACCUGCACUCACUGCGAGUUGAUACUCCUGGUUAUCUCUAACACCUUGACUUCACCAGAGCACCUUGAUGUACGCACAAGACACUCGACUUCUUGAUGAACACACAAGAAGACUCGAAGCCGAAUUCACAAUAACUCUUGAAGAUCACAAAGAUAUGAAUUGGGAAAAGGGGGAAGAAAGGGAAUUGAGUUCAAUAGCCACAAACAAGGUUAAUACCAAAAACCUAACCAAAACACAUGAACAAGAAGAAGGAUGGACGGCCAAAGAACUAUCUUGUUCUGUAGAAGAGAAACCCUAUUUAUACUUAGGGUUGAAAAACUAGGAAAAUGGGCCGAAACUGUGCAAACCGACUUUGGACGUUCGUACGUCGAUAUGACGUUCGAACGUCGCCACACAAAAAUAAGCCUGCUGCCUAACAUGACGUACGAACGCUCUAAACACGUACGUACGUCUCCAUACGAAAACAUGUCUGCUGACUACCUGGACGUACGAACGUCCUAAUUGAGUACGUACGUCCUGACCAAAAUAAGUUCGCUGCUUCAGUGAACGUACGUACGUCCUAACUCGGUACGUACGUCCAGAACCCAAUAACUUUCCCUAGACUGACCUAAGAGACACAAGGACACGAGACGACCAUGCGUACAUCUUGGUUUUCCUAACAAUGAAUUCAAGGCGAGAUAACCAAAGACACUUUGUCACAAAAUUGAUGUCAAACCACUUCAUGCCGGUUUCAAUCUCCCCCUUUGACAUUGAUUUUGUGACAAAAACCUAUGACUCUAAUAGCACUUAUAAAACGUGCUUACAAUCCCAAACCAUGGCAUUUAUAAAACAUGCCUACAAAAACACUCAAAAUAGAAACACAUAAAGAGUCACCAAUUCUUG
rnacentral:lncRNA from 1 species